UCAAUUAUUGCCACCGGAUGGGACCCACGUAAUUCGUCUAAUUGAACUGUACCCGGUUAUUCGCAAUCCACACCGGGCAAACUUGAAUCAUCUAUAUAUAUUACAUCAAAUUGUCAAACUGGAAGCAAGAACUCGAAAAAGCAACUUAACUACUUUCGAACUUUGAUUCCCGUAAGCAGAGAUCUUUCUGAUUUGAAGAACAUGGAAACCACCUGCGCAGGUUUAUAGGCCAACUUUAUUUUAAUAUAUAUCGUUUAUACUUCUUAUUUUAGUAUAUGCGGUUAUAAAUUAAAUUUUUUAUAUGAAAUUUUCAGGUAAUAACUGGUCAGAGGGUCUUCGGCUUCCUCCGUUUGGCAGUAUUGCUGAUGAUGAUGUCAUGAACGACAAUCUUGAUUUUCUUAAUGUCCCCCAAUAUGGAAGAAACCCCGACUACAUGGGUUAAGUGCAGCACUGCUUUUUUUUUUUUUCUGUUUUGUUUAAUUAAAUAAAUGAUAGGUAUACUAUUACCUAUCAAUCAUGACAAUGUUUUAGUAUGGUUUAGUUCAACUUAUAAGAUUUCUUGAGACGUACAAGCAAUCUUUUUGUUUACUUUUGAGCUAAGUAUUUUCCUGAAAAAGGAAAUAAAUCAAUAAAAGUUAUUGUGUGUGUCAACAUAUUGGUUCUAUUAGUUUAUACACGUCGGUUUUAAUUACGAUCUCUCUUCCUAAAUGUUGUACUUUUUUUUGAAAUAAACUCAAAACUUUGUUGUAUAAAAAACUCUUAUCACUUUCAAUCAUAUGAUGGUUACAAUUUAAUCAUUUAUUCAUAACAUCCUCCUGGUCCUCCAUUGAGGAUAUUAAAGUGUGCCAUUCUGUAACCCAGAACUAUCAUUUCUUCCACCUCUACGAUAUCUUGUAAUGUUACUUGCAGCUUCAUAAGCCACAGAAACAUCAUCAAAAUCAACAAAUUGUUUUUUUUUUUUUUUAGGAAAGUAAUAAGAAAAAUAAAAGCUGCAUUAUUUUAUUGGCCACAUUGGACUCCUAGGCCGGGUAAUCUUGUCAUCUCUACUCGUAGAGUCUUCUCCCAUGGUACUUGCAUGGUUCCAUCUUUUAACUCUAGUAGUAUUUUGUUUGGAAAAUACCCCAAUAUAAUAUCUUCAUUCAAGAAAAUUGAGGACUGAAUUUGUGGUGCUUUUAUCAUAUUAAAUUACAUUUAAUUAUCAAUAUUUAUUGACUGAAAUCAGAAGGGUGUUUGAAUCAGAUAUGAAUUCUCUCUUAAUCAAUUUUUUUUUCUAAAUUUUGUAAGAUAUUAUGGCAGAUUUCAUUUAAAUUGUUUUAUAGUUAGGAUUUAAUUUAUUUUGGGCUUUCCUUAUUGUUUGAAUCCGAUGAAUUUCAUAUCAUCUUGCUGGUGCUUCUUCUGAUCUUCUUCUCCCUCCCUCUCUCUCACUUUUUUUCUUCUCUCUCACAGACCUAAAACUUUGACGAGCAAAUUUGAAAACGAAAUAUCAGGACGGAAAAGCCUCAACAUAUUAAAAAAUUCGGAUAAUUUAACUCUCGUAGCAUUGAUGAAUUUUGGUGUUCUGAUGCGAUUCAAGUUUCUCAUAGAGCCAAAAAAUGGCAAUUCAAGCCAAUUUUUUUAUCCAUCAAUUGAAAUACAUGUUACAUAUGCAGCAGCCCGUAAUCGAAAAUAACUUAAUUUGUUUUAAAAAUUCUUUAUGUUAGACUAGAAAUGAAUCCAUUCUUGUUAUUGCGUAUCUGCAAUUUAACUUAUGCUGCUAGUUUACAAUUUAUUUUAUUCACAUAAAUGAUCGUUCCUUUUUCUUAUUCUCAAUUAAAUUUUGGUUCCUAGAAUGAUAGUUAAAAAAAUUAACAAUAAUAAUCGAUGUCGCAGAUCAAUUAUCAAAGUUUGUUUGUGUGAACAAGAAAUAUGAGAAAAAGUUUGUUAGUUAAUUGUCUCUUAGUUUUAGAAUUUUGAUUAACCAAUAAAACAACGUAUUUUAUUGUUUAAUAAAACAAGUUCAAAGUAAAUUCAAUCCUAGUCAUAUUUUGAUAUUUUUAUUACAUCGCAAUUAAAUUUAAGACAAACCACAUUUCGGCAAUUAAAUUUAAGACAAGCCACAUUCUCCACAUGAAAUAUUUUUGUCGCGUCGUGAUUAAAUGAUUGAGUCUCACGUAGAAGUCUGUCACUAACCAUAUAUUUUUAUAAAUUUAUCAACACAAAAAGAAAAAAAAAAUGAAGUAUUUGAAAUUUAUCUGGGGCUAAGCAGUAACAUUGGAUGUUGCCUCGGAUGUCCUAUAUCAAGGGCCCGAUUAAUAAAAUUUUGGGCCCUAGGCAAAAUUUCUAAAUUAGCCCUUUUUAUUUAAAUGAAAGUUAAUGUGAGAUUAAUUUAAAUUUUUACGAUUAAUAUGAAUAAUUUAUUUUUUUAGAUAUAAUUCCUUUACAUAGUUUGUAUCUGUAUUAUUUCAAAGAUUUUUUUGGGUUAUGUUUAAGCAGGCUUAUUUUUGAGAGAUUAUGAAGAAUAAGAGAUUGUGUUUCAAUUGGAAAUAACAAAAAUUUCGUUGCAUAAUUUUUUUUAAGCAUUAAAGAAAUAAGUUAUUGACGGAAAUUUCACUUUCAACAUAGAGAAUAUCCAACAUUUUAAACAAGAAAAUAAAUAAAUUCUGAUUUUUUAACUGAACUAUAUAUUGAGGUGGGGCCAAAAUUUUUGGAGAGCAAAUAUAAUAACUCAAUUUCUAAAUAAUGAAUAAUGACUCAAUUUCUAAAUAAUGAAGUAAAACAUAAAUUAGGGUUUUAGUAGGAAAGUAUAUUAGAUGGGACCUUGAUUUUAGGGGAAGGCAUAGGCAGUUGCCUAAAGAGUAGAGCUUCUAACACCCCUUUUAAACUUGUAACAAACCCCAAUUUUUUGUUUUUUUAAGUCUCUUUCUUUUAUGAAAAAUACAGAAAAGGACAUAAAGUUAUAAUGAAAUUUUAAUUGAACUUCACUACUGUAUAGAAUACAUUUUGUAAACAAAUUUUUCAUAAUAAAUUUUUUAAUAAAUAAUUUAUUUCUUUGUUAUUUUGUUUUUAUCAGCAAAUUAAUUAUAAUAUCAUAGGAUUAGCAAAUAGUCAAGAUUCAAGAUUUGUUAAGCUAUUUUAAUGUAAUCAAAUUCAUAUUUUUCCUUUUAGUAAUUCUUAGUAAUAAUAGAACUAUUAUUUUAAAAGUAGGGUGAUGCAAGAAUAUUAAAACGGUGUGAAAAGCAUUACUCUUGCCUAAAUUAUUCCAAGGUUGAACCGGCGUGUCUAAUUACCACCCUCUAGAGAAAGGGGAAAUUUUUUUUCCGAAGACAACCAUGUUUUGGGUAUUUCUACCGACACUCUACAAAAUAAAUGCUGGAAGAAAAUUAAUACUCUAUUAAUUGUUAGGGACAAAUCACACUUCCGUUGAGAAUAGACCUUCAGUUAAGUAUACCGGUUUCGACAUCCCUCGACUCUUGAGCUUUUCUUUGAAUAUAAGUUGGGUUCGUGGGUUUUUAUAUAAUAUCAGAGUUAGAAUCGUACAUAAGUGAGUCCACACUACCUUACCACAUCGAUUGAGAAUAAAUAUUGAGUUCAAUAUUAAACCUUCAACCACAAGGAUAAAACUAAUUAAGGCCCUUGAGGGGCUUCAAUACAUCCUCAACUAUUAAAUUCAUGGAAAUUCAUAUUAAUUUAAUGGAGUUGAACUUUUGGCACCCCUUUGAAUAUGUCUUAAAACACAUUUUCUUUACUUAUCCCAUUAAAAUUGUAUAAAGAUUGCACACUUUCUCAUGAAAUCCCUAUGAUUCUAAAAAUAACCCUGAUUUCUUGUUAAAUAAACACCAAUGCAGAUGCGGCAAUAAAAUAGUUAAUUUAAAAAAAAAUCCCUAUCUGAGAGACAGAAAGCUAGAGGAUUUCAAUAUGGAAUAUUUAUGAUCAAUAGAAGAAUUCAAGUGACUGGAGAAAAUUCAGAUUGUUCAAAAUGGGUUCUCAAACGAGAUAAGCCUCAGGUAGUAGACCUCACCAACAUCAGUACCAGACUCAAUCCAUAGAAUCGGUCUCGUCUUAAGCCUAACAGCUCCCUUUUAAUAUAAUCUAGUGAGAACGGUGAGGUGCUUGGUAUAUCAUACACCAAAAAUCAACGAUGCUUGGACUUUCAAGAAAAAGAGAAAAACAAAUGCAUGCAGGGGGAAACGUACUAAUUAAAAGCAAAUCAUAUAAUUUACAAAUUAUUAUAGGCUUGUAGCCAUAAGAUCGAGAGAAACUAAAACAUUUCUUGCAUUUUCUGGCCAUAUUUUCUAAAUGAAGGGAUGGUCCAUUGCUGCUCUGCCAUACUGGAUCUCAAGAUGUCAUUAACAAUAGGUCUCAAGAUGUCGCUAACAAGGUGUCACUCUGAUACCGACAGGUCUACCACUUAGACAUAACACUUGCCAUAUAAAAUUUUCUCCUAUUUUUGCUAUUUCCUUCGUAUCUUGCAUUGAAUUAUUGCCAGCAAAUGAUAUUUCGAGUCAAAAAAGUAUAUUCAAUUAUUGCAUAUAUGCUCCUAGGUAAUUUGCACAAUUGAAUUAUAGCUGUUAAUCUACUUAUUUACACAAAUGAUUAAUUGUACGCAUCCAUUGCAAGACUUUCGCACUAGGUUUCAAUUUCAACCACAAAUCCUACCUCUAGAUAAAAAUGAUGUGGUCGUAGAGAUUUCGAAUGUAUUCACUUUGUGAUUAACGGAAGCAUUGCUUUCAUUUGUAAGACGUUAAAUCAUCAUUUUGGUAAAGGAAAAAGAAUGAAAAAAGCUGCACUAUUUUAAAGGCCAUUUGGUAUAUGACCACUUCCCAUUGGACUUGGAGACCGGGUAAUUUUGUCAUCUCCACUCCUAGAAUCUGCUCUCAUGCUACUUGCAUGGUUCCAUCUUUGAAGUCUGGUACUGUUUUGUUUGGAAAAUACCCCACUAUAAUAUCUUCACGAAGAAAAUUGAUCCCCGUUAACUAGCGUGAUUAGCUUAGUUUCUUAAAUUCAACGUUCGUUUGGUUAAUUGUCUGUUAGUUUUAGAAUUUUGAUUAGCCAAUAAAACAAUGAGUUUUAUUGUUUGAUAAGGCAAGUUGAAAUAAAUUCAAUCCUACUCACAGAAAAAUUUAAAUGACACAUAUCAUAAUCUUUUUCAUAUCUUCAGAAAAAUUAAAUCAUAAGAGGAUCAUGAACAAUUUGAUGAUGCUCUGAAAUAUAGUCUUCUGUUUUUCAAGGAAAAAAUAAGGAAGUUAAAAACAUGUUUAUCAGGUUUUUCAGAGAUCAUUUUGACGUUUUUGUUUAAAAACAUGAAAAUUGUUCUUAUUCUCGUAAACCAGAAAAAAUUAUCUGGCCGGUUAGCUAAUUAUUCUUGUUCUUCUGUUCUUUUUUAUUUGAAUUGUUUCUCCCUUUUCCAUUCAUUUUUCACUAUGAAAUUAAUUACUAAUUAAUCUACAGUUAGUUUCUUUACAGCUAAUAGGAACGUGAUUUAUGCCCGAAGACUCGCAUCUUUUUGAUUCAUUAUCUACAGUGCCUCACCUCCAAUCUAUGUAUAGGCGGACAUGCAUAUUUAUUAUAUCAAAUAAGUUAUUGAUGGAAAUUUCACUUUCGAAAUAGAGAAUUAUCCUUAAUUAAAUCUUUGUGGGCCUAAAUUCGAGUAAGAUUUAAUGAUGUAUGAUUCAAAAUUAUUGAAAUCGGACAUUUUAAACAAGAAAAAAAUAAAAAAUCUUGUUCUCUUUUUUAAAUAAUAAAUUUCAUUUUGAUGGAUUUUUAAUAUUAAAUUAGACAUUUGCUAAAUUGGCUCAAAUAUAAUAGAUCUUAGACCUUGCUUUUAAUGGAUUUAAUUAGGUUUUGGGCAUUUAAAUUAUACAACUGGAGACAGAAUUUAUAAAUAGAUAAGAUUCUAAUGUGAUUUUAAAAUAAUUUUGAACUUGAACUUGAACUUGAUGCAUUUAAUUAAUCCAGAAAGGUAAAUUUAUAAUUUCAACUUUUAAAUAAAACAUAUCCUUUGGAUUUUUUACAUAAACUAGAGGCAAUUGUACAAUAUUUACUUGACUAGUGGUAUAUAUCCCAAAUUUUUUAUCCUAAGAAAUGCCACAUCAUUUGGUUGAUGAGGAUAAUAUAAUUAAUUCACUUAGAUAUUAUAAAAAAUUAUCAACCAAUCAAUGAAUAACAUAUCAUUUUCAUUGGGAUGAAAUUUGAAAAAAAAAUUUAGGACGUCUAUCAUUACUUUAGUAAGAAAGCAUAUUAAGAUGGACUGACAUGUUUGGAUGCCCCAGCCUAAGAUGCAAGAGAUCAAUUUCUUUUGUUGUCUUGAAAUCCCUACUAUUUGACUCAACAACAUUGGCAACAUUUAACUCAUUACUACUAGAACAAAAAGAUAUCAUAGACAAAGGAUUGCUAAUGCAAUUUAUUGACUCAUACUCUAAAGAUAGAGGUAACUCAACAGCACAUUCAAUCUUGCGCUACUCAUGCACAUUAGCUCAUAUAGCCUAUCUUUAGUCACUCCUUUCAUUAGGAUUUUCACUUGGCUAAAGCAAGUAGAUUUUUGAAGCACAACAUCAAUAUCAUUAUCACGGAACAAUUUUGAGACAUUAAUAAGGUUCUUAGUAAUGCUAGGCACAGACAACGAGCUGUUUAGUUUAAUCUGUUUGUGUGGAUCAUAAGUGAGCAAUAUAGAGUAUCCAAUAUGAGAAAUCAAAAGUUUAUCACCAUUUCCAACAGUAGCUCAUCAUUACCUUGAUAUUAUGAAUUAAAGCUCAUGCUUCCAAUAGCACUGGUUGCAUGAUUUGUAGCACCAUUGUCAAGGUACCAAGCUCUACUAUUCUCACCGUCAACUGCAACCACAUAUGCUCUUCUUGGAUCUCUUCUUCUAUUUGGCUGUGGAACUGAUAUGAACCCUAUUAAGAACUAACAUGACCCUAACCAAUUUAGUCUCUAAGAUUGAAACCAAUUUUUUAUUUUUUUUAGAAGAGAUUGAAACCAAAUCUAAAAUUGAAUGGAACCGCGAUUUGAUCUCAAUGAAAGUACGAACCUUGGUAUGUGAUGACGCCACAAUCAGCUAUGGAUGAUCUUAUUGAUAAGUCAAGAGUUUGAACGCCACAGAAAUCCGAUAAAUUCAAAGGGUUAGUUUAAGAACCAAAGAGAAUUAGCUUUCUCACCAAUUGCAUCAAAAUUGAUGCCUUUCUUAUUGGAUACGAGUACAUUAGAUAGGGUUGGUUUAUAAGAAUUUUAAGAAAUAAAUCCUAAACCAAAAUCAAAUCAGAAUCCUAAUUUAAAGCAAAUAAGGAAAGAAACUAAAUCAAACCAGAAUCCUUAUUGGCUUAAAUGCCUUGCAUCAAUUAAAAAUGGAAACAAGGCAAUUAAAAGAGAAAUAAUUGAUUCGUUUUGCCACUUGCCUACUCAAGAAAUGGGAAAGUAUCCUAAAAGGAAAGUAGUAUAUUUUCCAAACGAGAAAACAUCUGAUAAGGUAAAUAAUGUAUUUUCUUGCCAUAAUGUGCAAACCAACUUGCUGAUUUUAUGGAAAUGAUUAUGUGGAAACUUAAAAAGCCUGAAUCACGUAUUUAGUGGUCUGAAUAUCAUGUGCGCUUUCUUCAACGGGCCUCCACGAAUUUGAUUGAGCUCAAGUUGCUUAAAUCAACCCAUUAAGCGAUUUUUUGAAUUUUUUUGCACGAGCUCUUGUGAUGGGUCCAACAGGAACUUGAAUGGGAUAUGAAUAUACCUCAUCCCAUGUGCUUGUGACAGUUUUGUCCUCAAUAUCAUAUUUUUUCCUUCAAAGAAACAAUUUUGCUUCAUAUGGAAAAGGAAAUUCUUAUGUAGCCUUACAUGAUUUAUACAUAAACUCAUAAUAUUUGUGUAGUCCUUCAUGAACAUGUGAAAUAUACACUUAUAUAGUGAAUCCUUCAUGAGCAAGAUGUUAGUGAAUAACAUCAUAAUUUUGGAAUAGUCUUUCAGGAACAUAUUUUGAAAGAAAAUCUUCAUUAUGUAUAGUGCGAUCCUUAGAGAUGCAUUCUUAAUUUUCUUUCAUUAUAUAUUAUAAUAUUCAUACUUUAGGAUGAAUAUUUUGAAUUUCAAGAAUAGAAAAUAUAUAAUAGCAAUUGAAUAUUAUAAUAUAAAAAAUCAAACAAUAACAAAAUCAAUCAAUGGAACAUUAAAUAAAUGUUGGAAUCCAAAUCUCAUAAAAUAUAUGUAAUCAUUAAUAAAGGAAGUAUUAGAACAAGAAUCAAUCGGUCCUUGAUCUUAGCCACUAACUUAGCAUAUUGUAAUAUUCAUUCUCCUUUAUAUUCUUUCCUUUUCUAUUAUUUGACCGUUUGGUACUUGCCUUAGAUGAUUCUAGUAUUUUUGUAUAUAAGGAUCUUGUACACAGCAACAAAUAUAUAUGAGCAUUUCCACAAUUCUUUACAUGGUACCAGAGAAAAUUUUGCUCAUUUAUGCUUUUCUCUUUGACAAUCAUGUCUAGUAGUUUGAAUCCAAUAUCAGAAACAUCAAAUUCCCUCAUUACCGAUGCUUCUUCACCAUACUUUCUUCAUUCAUCUGAUCAUCCUGGAGCCAUUCUUGUAUCUAAUGUGCUAAUGGGUGAUAAUUAUUCAACAUGGAAAAAAUCCAUGAAGAUGGCAUUAAAUGCCAAAAACAAAUUGGGUUUUAUUGAUGGAAGCAUACAAAAACCUUCAUCAACCUCACAAGAUUUAAAAACUUGGGAGCGAUGCAAUGACAUGGUCCUUUCAUGGAUGCUCAAUGGAAUAGAGAAAAAUCUUGCCAACAGCCUCAUUUAUUGUGAUACUCCACGCUCUCUUUGGCUUGGGUUGGAAGAACGUUUUUCACAAAGUAAAAAUCAUUAGUGAUUUAUUUUAAUACUUUGAAAUUUUAUUAGGAUGAAUUGUCCACAUUAACCACUAUUUCUUCUUGCAAGUGUGAAACUUCAUAUGAAUUGCAGGGAUUACUAGAGACUGAAAAGGUGUUUCAAUUCCUAAUGGGUCUCAAUGAUUCAUAUUCUUCGGUACGAAGUCAAAUCUUAGCCAUGGAACCACUUCCAAAUGUUGGAAAACCAUAUUCAAUUAUUCAUCAGGAAGAACGUCAACGACUUCUCCAUGUUUCCAGUCAACCAUCCAUUGAAUCAACAGCCUUGACAGCCAAUAAUAAGACUCAAAUGACCGGCUGUCAAAAUCAUUCACAUUGUGAAGCCAGCAAGUAGUUAUAUUCUGUUUAAUUGAAUGAGGUGGCAUGCUGAGUUGGCAUAAGAUCCUUGAGUCUGUUAAAUCUGUUAAUGAAGAAUAACAGUUGGCACUCUUCUUUCGUAGCUAAGGAGUUAUAAAAGGGCAGCAAGGAGAUACAUUGGAGAUACGAGUGUAUGAGAGAUUCUUGGAGUGAGAUAUAGAACUUUUGUGAGAAGUUAAUAUCUCUGUAAUCUCAUCAUCUUUUGUAAACCAUCUUUCAUUCUAAAUAAAGCUUAGAGCUGUGCUGUUUCAACCGUGGAUGUAGGCUUUUUGUGGCCGAACCACGUUACAUCUUCUUGCCUUUAUCUUUUAUAUUCUUGGUAUCUUUGGUUGUUUGGUUUAGAUCUUUAGUGAGAAUACAUUUGUUCGUAUGCUUGUUUUCUUAAAGAAGCUUGAAAGUGCUGGGCUAAGUUCUUAACAAACUGGUAUCAGAGCCAGAAGGGCACUCUGUUCUUGAUCUGGCAUAAUGGGCAGCACAAGAUUCGAUCUUGAAAAGUUCAAUGGAGAGAAUGACUUCUACCUGUGGAGUCUGAAGAUGCGAGCCAUUCUGAUUCAACAGGGCUUGGAUAGUGCCCUCGAUGAUGACUGCGAAUCAAAGUCCAAAAGGGAAAAGGAAGAAGGAUCUUCAAGUUUGGGUGGAGACUCAAGGACUAUAAACAACAAGGCUCACAGCACUAUCAUUCUACACUUGUCUGAUGAAGUGCUGAGAGAAGUAGCCAAAGAGAAGACAGCCUCUGGUUUGUGGGCUAAACUAGAAGAACUCUUCUUGAAGAAAUCUUUGGCUAAAAGAUUGUACAUGAAGAGGAAACUCUACACGUUUUCAAUGAAGGAAGGGACAUCCAUGAAAGACCACCUUGAUGAGUUCAAUAAGUUGAUACUCGAUCUUGAAAACGUUAAUGUCAUGCUUGAAGAUGAAGAUAGAGCUCUUAUUUUGUUAAGCUCACUACCUGACUCCUAUGAGCAUUUCGUGGACACCUUGCUCUAUGGGAGACAGACCCUCACAUUGAAGGAUGUCAAGAAUGCUCUCGAAUCUAAAGACCUAAAGAAAAGAUCAGACUUCAAGGAUCAAGCUAUAGGAGAUGGUUUGUUUGUGAAAACAAAAUCAGAAAAGAAAGGAAACAAAGAUAAGAAGAACAAAAAUCAGAAAGAAAAAGAUGACAAGAAGAAGAAGAAAAGAAAAUGCUACUUCUGUCAAAGAGAAGGACAUUACAUCAAAGACUGUUUCGAGAAAAAGAAGCUAGAAAAGCUGCAAAAGGAGACAAAUGGAAAAGCAGCAAUUGCAUCUGAAGAUGAAGAGGAUGCUGAAGGUGCUGAUGUUCUCAUUGCAGCAGAUAAACAACCCACAGCUGAAUGGAUUCUUGAUUCUGGAUGUUCCUUCCACAUGUGCCCAAAUAAAGAAUUCUUCAAGACCUUCUAGAACAUAAAUAGUGGGAAAGUGUUGCUGGGAAACAACCUUGCUUGCAGAGUCACUGGAAUGGGGACUAUCAACAUUCAGAUGUUUGAUGACAAAACCAGGGAGCUUAAACAAGUAAGGUAUGUCCCUGAACUAAAAAGAAACCUGAUCUCUCUUGGGAUGAUGGAUAAAUUGGGUUGUAGCAUUAAGGCUGAAGAUGGAAAAAUUGAGGUCUUAAAUAAAGGUGAAGUCAUAAUGAAGGGUGUUAGAAGGAAUGGUUUGUAUGUGUUAGUUGGGUCAGUGCCUCAGCUUGGAGUAAAUGCUAACAUAAAUAGUGAUAAAACCAAGCUCUGGCACAUGAGACUUGGACAUAUGAGUCAAAAAGGUAUGAAGGAGCUGGAGAAACAAGGUCUGUUUGGCCAUGAUCAGAUUUCUCAACUGGAAUUCUUUGAAAAGUGUGUGUUUGGUAAAGCCACUAGACUUAAGUUUAACACAAGUAAGCAUGAAACCAAACAGACCCUGGACUACAUACAUUCUGACAUCUGGGGUCCCUCCCAAGUUUCAUCCCAUGGUGGAGCUAGAUACCUUAUCACCUUCAUAGAUGACUACUCAAGGAAGCUUUGGGUUUACAUCUUGAAGCAUAAGAGUGAAGCCCUAGAUAAAUUCAAGGAAUGGACAACUCUAAUGGAAAAUCAAACUGGGAGGAAAGUAAAAAGGCUCAGAACUGAUAAUGGGCUAGAAUACUGCAGUAAUGAGUUUGAUGAAUUCUGUAAAAGGUUGGGCAUUGCAAGACACAAGACAGUAAGACAUACACCUCAGCAAAAUGGACUUGCUGAAAGGAUGAAUAGGACCUUGAUUGAAAAGGUCAGAUGCAUGCUGUUGAGCUCAAAUCUCCCCAAGCAUUUUUGGGCUAAAGCUGCUGUUACAGCUGCAUAUCUCAUUAGCAGAAGUCCAUCAUCAGCUCUGGAGUUCAAAACACCUCAGGAAGUCUGGUCUGGGAAGCCACCUGAUCUCAGCAAUCUGAAAGUCUUUGGUUGCCCUGCCUAUGCUCACAUUAGACAGGGCAAGCUGGAACCAAGGGCUGUGAAAGGUUACUUUAUAGGGUACCCUGAGGGCGUUAAAGGAUACAAAAUAUGGAGCAUAAAUGGGAAACCCACCAGAACCUUUAUUAGCAGGGAUGUUGUUUUUGAUGAGGAAGCCCUGACACAGUCAAAGGUUGAGACUGAAAUAAUCAAUACAAGCUCUGAAGUAAAGGGAGUUGUUGAGCUGGAGGUGGAGUCACCAAAAGAAGCAAAACAACAUCCAAAACAAACACAUUCUGAAUUGGAAGGAUAUCAACUGACUAGGGAUAGAAUAAGAAGAACCAUCAAAAUGCCUGAAAGAUUUGGAGUUGCAGAUCUUAUAUCCUAUGCUUUGGCUGUGGCUGAAGCUGAAACAAGUGAGGAACCUGCAACCUACAAGCAAGCUAUGAGAACCAAGGACAAAAGAAAGUGGGUUGCUGCCAUGGAAGAAGAAAUGGCCUCACUCAGAAAGAAUAAGACCUGGACUUUAGUAAAGAAACCAGCUAACCAAAAGCUAGUAGGCUGUAAAUGGAUAUAUAAGAUAAAGGAGGGAGUCUCAGAAGCUGAACCAGCCAGGUACAAGGCCAGACUUGUAGCAAAGGGGUUCACCCAAAGAGAGGGAGUGGAUUUUAAUGAAGUAUUCUCCCCUGUGGUCAAACACAGCUCAAUAAGAGUCUUGUUAUCCAUUGCAGCAUACAAUGACUUGGAGUUAGAUCAAAUGGACGUGAAGACUGAUUUCCUACAUGGAGAUCUCAGUGAGAGGAUACUGAUGGAACAGCCAGAGGGAUUUGUUGAAGCUGAAUCAGAAGAUAUGGCUUGCUUGCUCAAUAAAAGCCUAUAUGGAUUAAAACAGUCACCUAGGCAAUGGUAUUUGAAAUUCGAUGAGUUUAUGAUCACACAUGGCUACAGCAGAAGUAAAUAUGACAGUUGUGUGUACUCUAAGGCUCUAACCUCUGGAAAUUUCAUUUACCUUUUACUCUAUGUGGAUGACAUGCUCCUGGCAUGUAAACAAAGAGAAGAGCUGGAGUGGCUUAAAGGUGAACUAAGCUCAGAAUUUGAAAUGAAGGACCUAGGUCCAGCCACCAAAAUAUUGGGAAUGCAUAUAAUCAGAGAUAGAGUUUCUAAAACCCUUUUCUUGUCUCAGACAGGAUAUGUGGAGAAGGUUCUCAGUAGAUUUGGAAUGAAUGAAUCCAAACCAGCCUUAACUCCUUUAGGAGCUCAGUUCAGACUCUCUAAACAGGAAGAGCCAAAAGAUAAUGCAGAGGUUGAACACAUGAAGAAUAUACCAUACACUAGUGUGAUUGGUUGUAUUAUGUAUGCCAUGGUCUGCACCAGACCUGAUUUGGCCUAUGGAAUUGGAGUCUUGAGCAGAUUCAUGUCAAAUCCUGGAAAACAUCAUUGGCAUGCAGCUAAAUGGAUGUUGAGGUAUUUAAAGGGCACAGCUGGUAUGGGUAUAGUAUAUGGAAGGGUUGACAAAAGCUCAGAUCAAAUUCAAGGAUAUGUUGAUUCAGACUUUGCUGGUGAUCUGGAUAAAAGAAGGUCAAUCACUGGUUAUGUUUACACUUUGUGUGGUGGAGCAGUCAGCUGGAAAGCUUCUUUACAGUCAGUAGUUGCUUUGUCAACUACUGAGGCAGAGUACAUAGCACUCUCAGAAGCAGUGAAAGAAGCAAUAUGGUUAAAAGGGUUAGUAGCAGAGUUAGGCCUGGAGCAAGGAUCAGUCAAUAUCAACUGUGACAGUUCUAGUGCCAUCCAGUUGAGCAAGAACCCAAAAUACCAUGAGAGAACAAAACAUGUGGAUAUAAGGUUACACUUCAUCAGAGAUGAGAUUGCUCAAGAAGUUGUAAAUGUAAUUAAGAUUGCAUCAGAAUGUAACCCUGCAGACAUGCUUACGAAGACUCUGCCAUCAGUCAAGUUCAAAGCUGCUUUGAAUUUGAUUGGCAUGGUUAUUUAGUAGAUCUAGUUAUGGUUGGUUGGUUCAGUGACUGAGAGAAGCUUUAACAGAAUAAAACUAGGUGGAGAUUUGUGAAGCCAGCAAGUAGUUAUAUUCUGUUUAAUUGAAUGAGGUGGCAUGCUGAGUUGGCAUAAGAUCCUUGAGUCUGUUAAAUCUGUUAAUGAAGAAUAACAGUUGGCACUCUUCUUUCGUAGCUAAGGAGUUAUAAAAGGGCAGCAAGGAGAUACAUUGGAGAUACGAGUGUAUGAGAGAUUCUUGGAGUGAGAUAUAGAACUUUUGUGAGAAGUUAAUAUCUCUGUAAUCUCAUCAUCUUUUGUAAACCAUCUUUCAUUCUAAAUAAAGCUUAGAGCUGUGCUGUUUCAACCGUGGAUGUAGGCUUUUUGUGGCCGAACCACGUUACAUCUUCUUGCCUUUAUCUUUUAUAUUCUUGGUAUCUUUGGUUGUUUGGUUUAGAUCUUUAGUGAGAAUACAUUUGUUCGUAUGCUUGUUUUCUUAAAGAAGCUUGAAAGUGCUGGGCUAAGUUCUUAACACACAUCCUAGCCAUUUGCAUGGAGUACAAGAGACACAAGGACGGGGUAGAUCUUUCUGCGAUCAUUGCCAGAAAUAUGGGCAUAUAAAAGCCAAAUGUUACAAAAUUGUUGGCUACCCACCAAACUGGAAACAUUCAAAUCGAUCGCAUGUUGCUGCUCCUACAACCACAAAGCCACAACAACUAGAUGAUCAUCCCAUUCCAACAGACAAGAAUGCAUCAUCUCAGCCUACUAUCCAAAUUCCUGGUCUCACGGCUGAACAAUAUCAACAAUUAUUAUCUAUACUUUCAACAAGUGAGCAACCAUCUACUGCAAACUUAGCUGGUAAAAUCUUUCCUUUUUGCAAUUCUGCUAUUAACUCAUAUAAUAAUUCUUGGAUAAUUGAUAGUGGGAAUCUGAUCACAUGACCCCUAAUAUUUCUUCCUUUAAAAAUUUUGUGCCCAUGUCUCAUGUCAAACCCGUGAGACUACCAAAUGGCACAACUGUUCCUACAACAAAAUGUGGAUCCAUUAAAUUAUCCUCCUCUUUGACUUUAGAUAAUGCCUUAUUGGUUCCUCAUUUUAAUUUUAAUCUAUUAUCUGUAAGCAAGCUAACCAAGGAUUUGAACUGUGCUGCUAUAUUUUUUUCCUUCAUUUUGUGUUUUUCAGGACCUUUCAACGAAGAAGCUGAUUGGAAAGGGUGAAGUUUGGGAUGGACUAUAUUAUUAUGAGCUUAUCAAUGGUCAUUCUUCCCUUCCUUCAGUAAUGAACGUUGCAAAGGAACCCAAUUCCAAUCUUUGACAUUUGCGACUCGGUCACCCUUCUAAAGACCGAAUGCAGCGUUUGUCUUUUAUUUCUGAUAUUGCAUCAUUUAAUUCUUGUUGUGAAAUUUGUCAACUUUCAAAAAACACUAGAAGUUCAUUUCAAUUGAAUAAAAAUCAUUCUGAUAUGCCAUUUCAAUUAAUUUUUUGUGAUAUUUGGGGACCUCAUCGCACAUCUACAUAUACGGGAGCAUAUUAUUUUCUUACUAUUGUUGAUGACCAUACUCGUUGUACUUGGGUUUACCUCAUACGGCACAAGUUUGAAGCUUUUCAAUUAUUAAAAAAUUUUUACUUCUUGAUCAAGACACAAUUUCACACACAAAUUAAAAAAAAAAAUUUGUAUUAAUCAAGGAAGUGAAUUUUUAUCAAAUCAGAUGCAAUUUUUUUCAUGAGCAUGGCAUCUUGCAUGAACACACUUGUGUUGAAACACCUCAACAAAAUGGGGUAGCAGAACGCAAGUAUCGACAUAUUUUAGAAGUUGCACGUGCAUUAUGUUUUCAAGCACAUUUACCUUUGUCUUUCUGGGGAGAUUGUGUUUUAGUUGCAACCCAUUUAAUUAAUCGUAUACCCACUCCUAAUCUUGGUGGUCAAUCACCUUAUGAAAUGCUUUUUAAGACUAAACCUCACUAUGAUCUUCUUCGUGUCUUUGGCUGUCUUUGUUAUGCUCAUACCAACAGUGCUAAUCGUCAUAAAUUUGCUUCCCGUGCUACCAAGUGUAUAUUUGUUGGUUACCCAUUUGGGUAUCUCGGAUACAAAGUUUAUGAUAUCAUUAAUAAAAAGACUUUUAUUUCUCGUGAUGUUACUUUUGUGGAAACUGAAUUCCCAUUCAAAACUAUCACCAAUCAACAAGAAAAUAGCAAUCUUUUACCUCUUCCUAUCAUACUUCCUGCCAAUGAAAAUGCACAGCUCCUUCCAACUUCUUCCAAUGAAAAGCCACUCCACCAAGGUACAUCUGAUUCAAUAGUUCUCCCUUCUCCACCUCUUCGACGAUCCCAACGACAGUCUUGUCGUCCAAAUUAUCUUCAGAAUUAUAUUUUCUCUACUGCACUUCACGGUACAUUUGGCAACUCUAUUACUUUUACUAAUCAUCCACCAUUGGUAAGUUCUUUAUAUCCAUUAUCCAAGUAUUUAUCAUAUGACAAGUUUUCUAGUGAUCAUGUAGCCUUUCUUUAAGCUAUAUCUCACGGUGUUGAACCAACUACAUAUUCUCAAGCCGUUCAACAUGCUUAUUGGCGCAAUGCUAUGGAUAUAGAGAUUAAAGCUUUGGAGCAAAGUAACACUUGGACAAUACAAGAUCUACCCCCCGGCAAGAAACCAAUUGGUUGUAAAUGAGUGUUUAAAAUUAAAAGAAAAGCUGAUGGUUCUAUUGAUAGAUACAAAGCAUGCCUUGUUGCUAAAGGAUACACACAAACUGAAGGUUUGGAUUACCAUGAGACAUUUGCACCUGUUGCAAAACUUGUGACUGUUAGAUGUGUAUUGGCAAUGGCAGCUAUUCGAGGGUGGUUAUUAUUUCUGUUAGAUGUUCAUAAUGCAUUUCUUCAUGGCAACUUGCAUGAGGAAAUUUAUAUGACCUUACCUCCAGGAGUUCGUAAACAGGGGGAGUCUUAUCAAUUUUGUCGGUUAAACAAGUCCCUUUAUGGUCUUAAGCAAGCUUUUCAAAAAUUGGUUUGAAAAAUUCUCAUCCGCUCUUAAACAAAUUGGUUACAUUCAAUUUUGUGCUGAUUCUUGUUUAUUUACUAAUAUGCACGAUUCUCAUUUUACAUUGGUGCUUGUGUAUGUUGAUGAUAUAAUAAUUGCUGGUAACCAUCUUGACACUAUAACUGCAUUGAAGAUAUUUUUACAGGCUCAAUUUCAUAUUAAAGACUUGGGAACUUUGAAAUAUUUUUUAGGAAUUGAAGUGGCUCGUUCAAAGCAAGGGAUUUUCUUAAAUCAAAGGAAAUAUGCUUUAGAUAUACUUCAAGACAGUGGACAAUUAGGCACACGGCCAUCUUCUUUUCCAAUGGAAUAAAACUUGAAGCUCUCUAACGAUCAAGGAACCCUUUGUCAAAAUCCUGACCACUACUAACCACUGUCAUAGGAUGUCUCAUCUAUUUGACAAUCACCCGGCCAGAAAUUACAUAUGCUGUGAACAUACUUAGUCAAUUUAUGCACACUCCAAGACGACCACAUUAUGAUGUUGCCCUGCGUGUCUUACGUUACAUUAGAUCUUCUCCCGGCGCUGGUAUCCUCUUGUCCUCCGCUAGCUCUUUGGAACUCUCUGCCUUCUCAGAUUCAGAUUGGGCAAGUUGCCCCAUGACCCGUCGAUCCACCACUGAAUAUAUUAUCAUGCUCGGCAACAAUCCUAUUUCUUGGAAAACCAAGAAGCAACCAUUUGUAUCGCGCUCUUCCGCUGAAGCCGAAUAUCGAGCAAUGGCGACAACAACAUGUGAAUUGGUUUGGUUGAAAACUCUACUUCAUGAUCUUCAUGUGACCCAUCCAAUGCCUAUAACUUUACAUUGUGACAAUCAAGUUGUGCUUCAUAUCGCUGCGAAUCCCAUCUUCCAUGAGCGUACCAAGCACAUAGAAAUAGACUGCCAUCUUGUUCGUGAAAAGCUUCAUGCCAAAAUCAUUUCCUUAACUUAUGUGCCUUCACGACAACAAUUGGCUGACAGUUUUACCAAAGUUCUUGGUAAAGAUCAAUUUCAAUAUCUUCUUGGCAAGUUGGGAGUUACGGAUCUUCACUUUCCAACUUGAGGGGGAGUAUUAGAACAAGAAUCAAUCGGUCCUUGAUCUUAGCCACUAACUUAGCAUAUUGUAAUAUUCAUUCUCCUUUAUAUUCUUUCCUUUUCUAUUAUUUGACUGUUUGGUACUUGCCUUAGAUGAUUAUAGUAUUUUGGUAUAUAAGGAUCUUGUACACAGCAACAAAUAUAUAUGACCAUUUCCACAAUUCUUUACAGGAAGUAAGGAACAACUUCAUAGAUCCAUUAUUCUUAAAUUAUAAAAAUACAUAAACAACAUAUGUAUAUGAUUUUAGACAAAUCAAGAUAGUUUAAUUCAUACCUUUGUGAGUGAGAUCAAAGGAGGGAUAUUAUCAUAUUACCUCUUAAUGGCUAGAGACUCGUGUUGAUAAUGUGUUAUAUCAUUUAUCAAUUGGGAGUGCAACAAUAUAGCAAGAGAAAUAAAGAAGGCAAAUAAGAGACACAAUGUUUAGAGGGGAAUUUUAUUCAAUCUCAAAUAUAUACAAAUAGGAAGCAAAGGCCUGCUUUUAUAGUGAUACAAGCAUAAAGUAGUAAGUAAUACCUCGUAAUUAUAAGAGAUGACAAUCCUCAGAUUAGGGAGAUAAUGAGAGUUAUAAAAGAUGGAAAGUUACUUGUGAGGAGAUCGAAGAUUGCUUUGAUGAACAUCCACAUAUAUUAUAAUAAUUUCAUAACAUACAUUUACUUUUAAUUUAUUUUUAAGGUUAAUUGGUUAAUAAGCUUCUUGUGUAGUAGAUUGAUUAAUGUGCCCAAGAAUAUUGUUGGAUGCUAUUAUUUUAAAGGCAAAGAAAAAUAAGGCAUAAGUGUCACAUGUUCAAUAGCAGGGAUGUUUUGAGGAAUUUCUUAAAAUAAAAAGACUAAGUAGAUCUUUAGCCCAAAAUAUAGGGAUUAAGCAAGCAUUCAUCCUAUUGAAAAGCAAAGUAAACUAAUGUAACCAUAAUUGAAUAUAAAGUUAACUCUUCUAUGGCAUUAUAGAGAACAAAAGAAGGAAAAAUAUUAUUCAAAUUCAAGAUAAGAAGGUAGUUUAUUAACUGUCUAAAGUUCAAAAUUUUAUUAAUUUCAGACCUUUUUUAAAAUUUACUUAUUUGUUUUUUUGUAACUUAUGUUUGAUUUUUAGAUAUUUACAUCUGAAUAGAAAAAGUAAGAUUUUUUGACUUUUAUCUAAAUGGAAAAAGAUCUGAAUGAUUAGUAAAUAUUAUAUUCCAUAAAUAUCUCUAUAAAAUAACUUAUUUCCUAAUCUAUAAAAUAGAAUCCCCUUUUUUUAUUUUGAUUUACAAGGACGUAAAUGUCAAAGAACUAAGUUUAAGAUGUUUUUUAUUAUAAAAACAAAUAAGAUGCCACUUACAUUCAUAUAUUAAAAAAUGAAAAACAAACAUGUGAUUCAAAUUUUCGUAUUCAAACCCAUUCAAACUUGAAAAAAAUUUAGACACAUUCAAAUUUCAGACAAAAAAGACAAAUACUACUUCAAUUUUUUUUUCGCUUUGCAACUGCCCACUGCUAACCAAAUAAAAAAAGAUUUUCAAUUUGGAAUUAUGUUAUCCAACAUAUGAAGACAAUUCUUCCUUUGAACGAAUCUUUAUGAUUGUUUUCUGAACGAAUAUUGCUCUAAAUUAAAAUAUUUUAGAACAAAAAAUAGUUGAUUGCCAAAUGUACAAUAGGUACAAUUUUCUUUUUUCAGCUCUCUUUUGGAAGAGAACUAUGUCGUCCUUUAUAAUUAUUAUUUCUUGAAAGAAUACAAACUUAAAUUACUGGCUUUUUAUUUGUAAAAUCAUAUAAAAUAGACUCUUUUAAGGAAAAUAUCUCAUACCGGAGAUAAUAAUUUCUGGACUAAGAAUAUAAACUUAAAACAGCACUACUAUCAAAUUAUCUUUAAAAGAGUUCCUUGAUCAAAAGAAUUUAUUUAUCAUUUUUCACAGUUUAAAAAAAUAAAAAAAAUUACAUAGAAAUAAUUGGAAGAUUUCCUAAAUAAGCAUCAAAUAAAUGCUAAUUUAUUGCAUGAUACUUGGAAGAAACCAUAAAUAAAAAUUAAGGAUUUAUAAUUUUAAAGACAAGUUGGGAGUUUAAAUUUUCUUGCCAUCUUGAGGGAGAAUAAUAAGACCGAAAUAAUAUUGAUGAAACAAAAUAAUCAAUCAAAUAUUUGAUUGUCUUCAUCUUAAUCAGUGAUCAAGAAAAAUUGGUUGUUAAUUAACAUAAAAAUUGAUUGACUCAAUAUUUACUAAUAGAUCAUUAUUCCCAAAUUAUGUUAAUUAUAUAUAUUUCAAAUACUUAUAAGAAUUGAGUUUGCUUACGGUUUAUUAAAUAUAGUCUCUUAAAAGUUUACAUGUGGCCCAUACAAAGCUAACAUUACUCUGUUAUAGCAUUUCGGGCAUCCAACAAGAUCCUCUUCUUCACUUAUUGUUAGAACUAGAGCUAACAAAUUAAUUACUUAAUCACGGCUAAGUUUGGAAUUAAAAUCAAACUAAAUUAUCUAAUUGGUUGAGUUCGGUUUCCGUUUGUAUGGGCUACAUGAAAUUUUUUCUCUCAUCUUCUCUCGUCUGCUAAUCGCAUCUUUCUCUCUUUCGACUCUCUAAUUUCUCUCUUGGAUUUGGUUACCAAGCACAUAAAAUUGAAGCCACCAUCUCGCUCAUAACAAACAACUAGUCGGAUCCACCAAACUGUUGCUGUCAUCUUGAGCCAUUCAAGUAACUUGAACACAUCAUCUUCUCGUAAAUUCUCUUUCAUUUUCGAAUUAAAGACAAGGUAAGGAUGUAAUCUUGACUUUUGUGUUUUUUGUGAUGACUACAGAAAAUGCUAUAUGAAACAAUUAGGGAUUUAUGUGCUAUAUAAUAAUAAUAAUAAUAAUAAUAAUAACAACAACAACAACAACAACAAGUAGUCAUUUAUGAAUUUUGAGUGAAAAAAUAGGGAUUUAUGUGCUUCUUCUUCUUCUUCUUCUUCUUCUUCUUAUUAUUAUUAUUAUUAUUAUUAUUUUCCCUAUAUUAAACAAGUAGUCAUUUAUGAAUUUUGAGUGAAAAAUUCACUCGGCUGUGGCAAAUUUUGUGCCUUACAAGUAGUCGAUUUCACGCAUUCAUCAUCACCAUUACUAUGUUCAUUAUUAUUUGCUAUUGUUUUUUACUUUUUCUGCUGUUAUUGAUUAAAUUGACAUUAAAUUUAUGUCUUGUUCAUUACAAGACUUAGGGUGCGUUUGGGAUUGAGGUUGGGCAGCUGUAGCUUAAAAGCUACAGCACUAAAGUGUUUGGUAAACACUAGCUGUUGUAGCUUUUAAGAUAUGUUGAUAUGAUUUUUCACUUGUAUAAUAUAAAAUUUAUUAUAUCUUUAAUAAUUUUAUCAAAAUUAUUAUUUAAAAUUUAUAUUUACUAUUAUUAUUAACUUUUGUUUUAUAAUUACAGCUUUUUUUUCACAGCAGCUGUAGCUUAAAAGCUACAGCACCUCAAUCCCAAACGCACCCUUAACAAUAUAAUCCAGUUGUAACAUGGACACUACAGAUGAUACAAGUGCGCAAGACCUAGUCAGAGAGCGUAGUACACUUUUUGUAAGUAUAAACUAAUUGAUAUUUUUCGAGUUGUUAUGUUAGCAACCAUUUUAAAAACACUUUUGUUUUCGAAUUUUGGUUACGUUGAAGUGAAGGGGAUUGAGUUGCCAUUAAAAAUCAAAGUAUUUUGGUCUUUAUAAACAAAGCGCUUUUGUGGAAUAGAUCUAAGAAGAUGCUAAUCUUCUUAAUAAAUUUUUUUUAAAAAAAAUUCUAUUACUCUUGGUGCAACAAAUUUCCUAGUCCCAAAACCUUGUCAUAGAAAAAAAAAAAAAAAAAAAAAGAAAACAGAAAAAGAGUGAAAAUCUCUUCGGUCAACCAAAUUACUCAAAUUCGUAAAAUAAUAUAAUACUUGAACCUUAAAAAUAAAAGCUCUAUAUAUUACUAUAUAAACAGUGAUAAACACAAUUACUAUCUAAGCCCACUCGAAGUUUUAUCAUACAGUCGUAUAUUUAUCACCUUAUGUACGUAUAUUGUAAUUUGGAUACGUUAUUUAAUUGUAUUUAUAUUGUGUAUAUUUACCACAUUAUGUACGUAUAUAAAAUAUAACGUAUAUUGUGUAAACUCUACUAUAAACAAUUAAUAUUUGGUCAUAUUUCUUUUGGCAAAUAACCCCCUGGGAUUUCUUCUUUAUCGCAACAUGAAAUUGAAGAUAUUUAAAAGGUUUUGAAACGUUAUUUUUAUUGAAUGGAGUUGCCAUUUUUAAUUUUGGUUGCAAAUAAUAAUUCCUUGGUGGUUACAAUAUUUUUAAAUAUCCCCAUUAAGGCUGUAGGGGCUACAAAUCUUCAUUCUAGAUCUGUAACAUAUGACUAUGAAUUAUAUAUAAAUGAGCUAUUUUUCUUUAUCUUUGGAUAUAUUAUAUACUCUAUUGUUUUCUCCGAAACUCUACGAUAAACAAUUAAUACUUUUCUUUGCAACUUCGACAAAUGAGCUAAGGAAUGUUAAUGCAUUCAUUAAUUAUUCAAUUUCUUAUCUAAAGACUAAGAUUCUUUUAUUUUUUAUUCUAUCAAUUUAUUAUUAUCGUAAAACAAUUGCGGGUGAGUAUAUUUAAACUCAUUAGAUCACUUCCUAUAUCCUAAAUCAAUAAAUAAUUUUAUUACAAAAUUACUGAAAAAUCCUUUUAAUUUCUUGAAUACCCAAAAAGUAAAAUUACCAUUCUAGAUGGAGGAUAAAUCUUUAAAACUGCCUUAAACGCAUCUUAUUUGUUCAUACACACACAAGUUAUUAAACAACCAUGGAUGUUGAACCAAAGUGUCAAACUUAGUUUCUGGUUGUCAAAUUUUCUUCCUAUUGGACAUCUAAAUCGUUUUGUAGUCAGUAACAUAGUCAGAAAAUCAAAUUAGUGGGGUAGAAUGACUGACAUAAAAUAUAAAGAAAUUUUUUUACUGUGUUCUUUAUCUAUUUUUCUAAUAUUUUUAGCAUUCCUCCUUACAUAUGUCUUAAUAGCAUGUUUAAUUUGAAGAAAUAAAAUAAGAAGAGAUGAGAGAUAAGGAGAAUGGGAACAAUAAAUAAUGGAAAAAGAGAUAUAAUUAUAUAUUAAAUUAAACAAUGAAAUUGAGAAUGAUCCUAUUUUUUCCCUCAUUUUUGAUCACUUACUCUAAGGAACCAGAACUUUAAGGAAAGACAGACAAAUCAUAAAGAUUGAAGAGCAGGAAUUUUUGUUCUCCUUUUUAAAUAAAAAAUUUCAUUUCAAUGGAUUUUUAUUAUUAAAUUAGUCUUUCUCUAAAUCAGAUCAAAUAUAUUAGAUCUUAAAUCUUGUUUUUAAUGAAAUUAAUUACGUUUUGGGCAUUUAAAUUAUGAAAUUGGACAAGAUUUGUGUGUGAUUUUAAAAUAAAUAUGAACUUGAAUUUGAUGCAUUUAAUUAAUCCAAAGAGGCAAAUUUAUAAUUUCAACUUCUAAAUAAAACAUAUCAUUUGAAUUUUAUCAGUGGUUUCUAACAAUAACUGACAGGUCAUUAUAAUAAUUAUAAAUGUAAUAUUUAUUUUUAUAAUUAUACAGUUAUGAUCAAUGCUAUGCUGUAGUGCCGUUCCAAAGGCAACUGCUCCCACUAUAAUUAUAAUCAUUAAGCAAGAACUUGCAAAAGCAACUUAAUUACAAGUAAUCUUUCCUCUGUUCUUAUUUUCAGUUCAAUUUGGUCCCGAGAAUAAUGAUGUUGACGACAACAAAAAUAAUAAUUGAUGCAUCUUGCUGUUUAAUAAGGCAAGCUCGAAAUAAAUCAAAUCCUAGUCAUACAAAAAUUCAAAUGAUAUGAGCCAUGAUCUCUUGCCAAGCUUCAGACAAGUUAAAUUAUAAGAGGAUCUUGAUAAGUUAAAUUAUGAACAGACAUUUACGCUGUGGACCCAUUCAUGCAUCCCCGUUUCGAUUUUGCAAUUUAACGUAGCCGUUAAUCUUACCUAGCCAUGUGUACGAGAAAAACUCCGCCGUCGAUCCGUAUAUGUAAGCACCAAGCAUGCAUUAUUAUUUUACCAAUUAUAAAGCACCGACACCCAGGGCCAGCCUAGAAUUAUAAUACUAUUUUUUUUUUUGGAUCAGGACGAAAUUAUUAUUGAAUAAUAAUUAAAACAAAAAAAAUCUGAAUCUUUCUAUGAUUGUAUCAACUUAUUAUGCAUGCCUAUGUUAUUGCCCAGUUGCCUAUGUUAUUGACAUCUACUACGAAGUUAGAAAUUGGUCUUAAUUAAUUAGAUAUGUUUCGAAAUUGGUCUUAAUUAAUUAGAUGCAUUUCUCAUUUGAAUUAUUUGGAGACGUGUAUAAUACAGGUCAAGUUUUCUAAUAAGAGGUUAGUGACUUUAUUUCUUUUAUUGGCUCAUAUUGAUUUAUGUGGCUAUCAUUCCUAGCUAAUUCGAUUAUUUAUCAAUAAUUUUAUUGAACAAAUUGAUUUAUUGGUUAAAAUAAGUUGUUCUUAUUAUUGUUUUUGACUAGAAGGUCUCAAUAAAGUUGGAAUAAAUAAAUUUUCAUCUAUGUCUCGCACUUACGUAAAAUAAAAGAAAAAAUCAUAAUUACAAAGAAAUUAAGAACCAAUGUCAAUCAUGUAAAAUCAAAUAUUUAAACAAUCAAAAUUUUAUCACUUCUGAGUUUAAGACUUUUUUCUUUCAUAUGUUAGAAAAUAAAAUUUUGAUGGAAUUUUUUUUUUUUAAAAUGAAAUUGGGAAUUAGAAAAUUUCAUUUCCAAGACUUUUUUCUUUCAAAUUAAGACUGCACGUGAUAAUUGCGGUUAGUUUUCCCCUGUUAUCAAUUAUUGCCACCGGAUGGGACCCACGUAAUUCGUCUAAUUGAACUGUACCCGGUUAUUCGCAAUCCACACCGGGCAAACUUGAAUCAUCUAUAUAUAUUACAUCAAAUUGUCAAAUCGGAAGCGAGAACUCGAAAAAGUAAUUUAGUAAAACUCGCCGCCUAUAAAAUUCAAAACCGAGGGCCAAGACGAAGUAUUCACUCAAGGACCGCGAGUCACGCAUUGUGGUGUGAACGGUUACCAAAACAACGAAAAUGAACCAACGUCUUUGCUGUCUUAUUGUUCUCUUUCUCUCCGUGGUCCCUCUCCUGGCCGCCGGCGACCGUAAAGGAGCGUUGGUUGGGGGAUGGAAGGCGAUAGAGGACCCCAAGGAGAAGCACGUGAUGGAGAUUGGGCAGUUCGCGGUGACGGAGUACAACGAACGGUCAAAGAGCGCGUUGAAGUUUGAGAGCGUGGAGAAGGGCGAGACUCAGGUGGUUUCCGGCACCAAUUACCGGCUGAUCUUGGUCGUCAAGGACGGUCCUUCGAUCAAGAAAUUUGAAGCUGUCGUUUGAGAGAAGCCAUGGGAGCAUUUCAAGAGUCUCACCUCGUUUAAGCCUAUGUUUGGGGGAUGGACUCCGAUAGACCCCACGGAGAAGCACGUGAUGGAGAUCGGGCAGUUCGCGGUGACGGAGUACAACAAACGGUCAAAGAGCGCGUUGAAGUUCGAGAGGGUGGAGAAGGCCGAGACUCAGGUGGUUUCCGGCACCAAUUACCGGCUGAUCUUGGUCGUCAAGGACGGACCUUCGACCAAGAAAUUUGUAGCUGUCGUUUGGGAGAAGCCAUGGGAGCAUUUCAAGAGUCUCACCUCGUUUAAGCCUAUGUUUGGGGGAUGGACUCCGAUAGACCCCACGGAGAAGCACGUGAUGGAGAUCGGGCAGUUCGCGGUGACAGAGUAAUACAAACGGUCAAAGAGCGCGUUGAAGUUCGAGAGCGUGGAGAAGGCCUGGACUCAGGUGCUUUCCGGCACCAAUUACCGGCUGAUCUUGGUCGUCAAGGACGGACCUUCGACCAAGAAAUUUGAAGCUGUCGUUUGGGAGAAGCCAUGGGAGCAUUUCAAGAGUCUCACCUCGUUUAAGCCUAUGUUUGGGGGAUGGACUCCGAUAGACCCCACGGAGAAGCACGUGAUGGAGAUCGGGCAGUUCGCGGUGACAGAGUACAACAAACGGUCAAAGAGCGCGUUGAAGUUCGAGAGCGUGGAGAAGGCCUGGACUCAGGUCGUUUCCGGCACCAAUUACCGGCUGAUCUUGGUCGUCAAGGACGGACCUUCGACCAAGAAAUUUGUAGCUGUCGUUUGGGAGAAGCCAUGGGAGCAUUUCAAGAGUCUCACCUCGUUUAAGCCUAUGUUUGGGGGAUGGACUCCGAUAGACCCCACGGAGAAGCACGUGAUGGAGAUCGGGCAGUUCGCGGUGACAGAGUAAUACAAACGGUCAAAGAGCGCGUUGAAGUUCGAGAGCGUGGAGAAGGCCUGGACUCAGGUGCUUUCCGGCACCAAUUACCGGCUGAUCUUGGUCGUCAAGGACGGACCUUCGACCAAGAAAUUGUUAGCUGUCGUUUGGGAGAAGCCAUGGGAGCAUUUCAAGAGUCUCACCUCGUUUAAGCCUAUGCUUGGCGGAUGGACUCCGAUAGACCCCACGGAGAAGCACGUGAUGGAGAUCGGGCAGUUCGCGGUGACAGAGUACAUCAAACGGUCAAAGAGCGCGUUGAAGUUCGAGAGCGUGGAGAAGGCCUGGACUCAGGUGGUUUCCGGCACCAAUUACCGGCUGAUCUUGGUCGUCAAGGACGGACCUUCGACCAAGAAAUUUGAAGUUGUCGUUUGGGAGAAGCCAUGGGAGCAUUUCAAGAGUCUCACCUCGUUUAAGCCUAUGCUUGGGGAUGGACUCCGAUAGACCCCACGGAGAAGCACGUGAUGGAGAUCGGGCAGUUCGAGGUGACGGAGUGCAAUAAACGGUCAAAGAGCGCGUUGAAGUUCGAGAGCGUGGAGAAGGCCUGGACUCAGGUGGUUUCCGGCACCAAUUACCGGCUGAUCUUGGUCGUCAAGGACGGACCUUCGACCAAGAAAUUUGAAGCUGUCGUUUGGGAGAAGCCAUGGGAGCAUUUCAAGAGUCUCACCUCGUUUAAGCCUAUGUUUGGGGGAUGGACUCCGAUAGACCCCACGGAGAAGCACGUGAUGGAGAUCGGGCAGCUCGCGGUGACGGAGUACAACAAACGGUCAAAGAGCGCGUUGAAGUUCGAGAGCGUUUAGAAGGCCGAGACUCAAGUGGUUUCCGGCACCAAUUACCGGCUGAUCUUGGUCGUCAAGGACGGACCUUCGACCAAGAAAUUUGUAGCUGUCGUUUGGGAGAAGCCAUGGGAGCAUUUCAAGAGUCUCACCUCGUUUAAGCCUAUGUUUGGGGGAUGGACUCCGAUAGACCCCACGGAGAAGCACGUGAUGGAGAUCGGGCAGUUCGCGGUAACAGAGUACAACAAACGGUCAAAGAGCGCGUUGAAGUUCGAGAGCGUGGAGAAGGCCUGGACUCAGGUCGUUUCCGGCACCAAUUACCGGCUGGUCUUGGUCGUCAAGGACGGACCUUCGACCAAGAAAUUGUUAGCUGUCGUUUGGGAGAAGCCAUGGGAGCAUUUCAAGAGUCUCACCUCGUUUAAGCCUAUGCUUGGGGGAUGGAAUCCGAUAGACCCCACGGAGAAGCACGUGAUGGAGAUCGGGCAGUUCGCUGUGACAGAGUACAACAAACGGUCAAAGAGCGCGUUGAAGUUCGAGAGCGUGGAGACGGCCUGGACUCAGGUGGUUUCCGGCACCAAUUACCGGCUGAUCUUGGUCGUCAAGGACGGACCUUCGACCAAGAAAUUUGUAGCUGUCAUUUGGGAGUAGCCAUGGGAGCAUUUCAAGAGUCUCACCUCGUUUAAGCCUAUGCUUGGGGGAUGGACUCCGAUAGACCCCACGGAGAAGCACGUGAUGGAGAUCGGGCAGUUCGCGGUGACAGAGUACAACAAACGGUCAAAGAGCGCGUUGAAGUUCGAGAGCGUUGAGAAGGCUUGGACUCAGGUGGUUUCCGGCACCAAUUACCGGCUGAUCUUGGUCGUCAAGGACGGACCUUCGACCAAGAAAUUUGAAGCUGUCGUUUGAGAGAUGCCAUGGGAGCAUUUCAAGAGUCUCACCUCGUUUAAGCCUAUGCUUGGGGGAUGGACUCCGAUAGAGCCCACGGAGAAGCACGUGAUGGAGAUCGGGCAGUUCGCGGUGACAGAGUACAAUAAACGGUCAAAGAGCGCGUUGAAGUUCGAGAGCGUUGAGAAGGCUUGGACUCAGGUGGUUUCCGGCACCAAUUACCGGCUGAUCUUGGUCGUCAAGGACGGACCUUCGACCAAGAAAUUUGUAGCUGUCGUUUGGGAGUAGCCAUGGGAGCAUUUCAAGAGUCUCACCUCGUUUAAGCCUAUGCUUGGGGGAUGGACUCCGAUAGACCCCACGGAGAAGCACGUGAUGGAGAUCGGGCAGUUCGCGGUGACGGAGUACAACAAACGGUCAAAGAGCGCGUUGAAGUUCGAGAGCGUGGAGAAGGCCUGGACUCAGGUGCUUUCCGGCACCAAUUACCGGCUGAUCUUGGUCGUCAAGGACGGACCUUCGACCAAGAAAUUUGAAGCUAUCGUUUGGGAGAAGCCAUGGGAGCAUUUCAAGAGUCUCACCUCGUUUAAGCCUAUGGUUAAAUAGGGUGUUUAACAAAUAACAAAUGCAUGUAAUUGUUAAAUAAAGGAUAGGUAUACUAUUACCUAUCAAUCAUGGCAAUGUCUUAGUCUGUUUUAGUUCAACUUAUAAGAUUUCUUGAGAUGUACAAGAGAUCUUUUUGUUUACUUUUGAGCCAAGUAUUUUCCUGAAAAAGGAAAUAAAUCAAUAAAAAUUAUUGUGUGUCAACAUAUUGGUUAUAUUAGUCUAUACACGUCGGUUUUAAUUACCAUAUCUCCUCCUAAAUAUUUUACUUUUUUUGAAACAAGCUCAAAAAUUUGUUGUAUAAAAAACACUAUCACUUUCAAUCAUAACGUCCUCCUGGUCCUCCAUUGGGGAUAUUAUAGUGUGUCAUUCUGUAACCCAGAACUAUCAUUUAUUCCACCUCUACGAUAUCUUGUAAUGUUACUUGCAGCUUCAUAAGCCACAGAAACAUCAUCAAAAUCAACAAAUUGUUUUCUUUUCUUUUUUUUUAGGAAAGUAAUAAGAAAAAUAAAAGCUGCAUUAUUCUAUUUAUGAUCAAUAGAAGAAUUCAAGUGACUGGAGAAAAUUCAGAUUGUUCAAAAUGGGUUCUCAAACGAGAUAAGCCUCAGGUAGUAGACCUCACCAACAUCAAUACCAGACUCAAUCCAUUGAAUCGGUCUCGUCUUAAGCCUAACAGCUCCCUUCUAAUAUAAUCUAGUGAGAACGGUGAGGUGCUUGGUAUAUCAUACACCAAAAAUCAACGAUGCUUGGACUUUCAAGAAAAAGAGAAAAACAAAUGCAUGCACGGGGAAACGUACUAAUAAAAAGCAAAUCAUAUAAUUUACAAAUUAUUAUAGGCUUGUAGCCAUAAGAUCGAGAGAAACUAAAACAUUUCUUGCAUUUUCUGGCCAUAUUUUCUAAAUGAAGGGAUGGUCCAUUGCUGCUCUGCCAUACUGGAUCUCAAGAUGUCGUUAACAAUAGGUCUCAAGAUGUCACUAAAUUAUUGCCAGCAAAUGAUAUUUCGAGUCAAAAAAGUAUAUUCAAUUAUUGCAUAUAUGCUCCUAGGUAAUUUGCACAAUUGAAUUAUAGCUGUUAAUCUACUUAUUUACACAAUUGAUUAAUUUACGCAUCCAUUGCAAGACUUUCGCACUAGGUUUCAAUUUCAACCACAAAUCCUAGCUCUAGAUAAAAAUGAUGUGGUCGUAGAGAUUUCGAAUGUAUUCACUUUGUGAUUAACGGAAGCAUUGCUUUCAUUUGUAAGACGUUAAAUCAUCAUUUUGGUAAAGGAAAAAGAAUGAAAAAAGCUGCACUAUUUUAAAGGCCAUUUGGUAUAUGACCACUUCCCAUUGGACUUGGAGACCGGGUAAUUUUGUCAUCUCCACUCCUAGAAUCUGCUCUCAUGCUACUUGCAUGGUUCCAUCUUUGAAGUCUGGUACUGUUUUGUUUGGAAAAUACCCCACUAUAAUAUCUUCACGAAGAAAAUUGAUCCCCGUUAACUAGCGUGAUUAGCUUAGUUUCUUAAAUUCAACGUUCGUUUGGUUAAUUGUCUGUUAGUUUAGAAUUUUGAUUAGCCAAUAAAACAAUGAGUUUUAUUGUUUAAUAAGGCAAGUUGAAAUAAAUUCAAUCCUACUCACAGAAAAAUUUAAAUGACACAUAUCAUAAUCUUUUUCAUAUCUUCAGAAAAAUUAAAUCAUAAGAGGAUCAUGAACAAUUUGAUGAUGCUCUGAAAUAUAGUCUUCUGUUUUUCAAGGAAAAAAUAAGGAAGUUAAAAACAUGUUUAUCAGGUUUUUCAGAGAUCAUUUUGACGUUUUUGUUUAAAAACAUGAAAAUUGUUCUUAUUCUCGUAAAACAGAAAAAAUUAUCUGGCCGGUUAGCUAAUUAUUCUUGUUCUUCUGUUCUUUUUUAUUUGAAUUGUUUCUCCCUUUUCCAUUCAUUUUUCACUAUGAAAUUAAUUACUAAUUAAUCUACAGUUAGUUUCUCUACAGCUAAUAGGAACGUGAUUUAUGCCCGAAGACUCGCAUCUUUUUUAUUCAUUAUCUACAGUGCCUCACCUCCAAUCUAUGUAUAGGCGGACAUGCAUAUUUAUUAUAUCAAAUAAGUUAUUGAUGGAAAUUUCACUUUCGAAAUAGAGAAUUAUCCUUAAUUAAAUCUUUGUGGGCCUAAAUUCGAGUAAGAUUUAAUGAUGUAUGAUUCAAAAUUAUUGAAAUCGGACAUUUUAAACAAGAAAAAAAUAAAAAAUCUUGUUCUCUUUUUUAAAUAAUAAAUUUCAUUUUGAUGGAUUUUUAAUAUUAAAUUAGACAUUUGCUAAAUUGGCUCAAAUAUAAUAGAUCUUAGACCUUGCUUUUAAUGGAUUUAAUUAGGUUUUGGGCAUUUAAAUUAUACAACUGGAGACAGAAUUUAUAAAUAGAUAAGAUUCUAAUGUGAUUUUAAAAUAAUUUUGAACUUGAACUUGAACUUGAUGCAUUUAAUUAAUCCAGAAAGGUAAAUUUAUAAUUUCAACUUUUAAAUAAAACAUAUCCUUUGGAUUUUUUACAUAAACUAGAGGCAAUUGUACAAUAUUUACUUGACUAGUGGUAUAUAUCCCAAAUUUUUUAUCCUAAGAAAUGCCACAUCAUUUGGUUGAUGAGGAUAAUAUAAUUAAUUCACUUAGAUAUUAUAAAAAAUUAUCAACCAAUCAAUGAAUAACAUAUCAUUUUCAUUGGGAUGAAAUUUGAAAAAAAAAUUUAGGACGUCUAUCAUUACUUUAGUAAGAAAGCAUAUUAAGAUGGACUGACAUGUUUGGAUGCCCCAGCCUAAGAUGCAAGAGAUCAAUUUCUUUUGUUGUCUUGAAAUCCCUACUAUUUGACUCAACAACAUUGGCAACAUUUAACUCAUUACUACUAGAACAAAAAGAUAUCAUAGACAAAGGAUUGCUAAUGCAAUUUAUUGACUCAUACUCUAAAGAUAGAGGUAACUCAACAGCACAUUCAAUCUUGCGCUACUCAUGCACAUUAGCUCAUAUAGCCUAUCUUUAGUCACUCCUUUCAUUAGGAUUUUCACUUGGCUAAAGCAAGUAGAUUUUUGAAGCACAACAUCAAUAUCAUUAUCACGGAACAAUUUUGAGACAUUAAUAAGGUUCUUAGUAAUGCUAGGCACAGACAACGAGCUGUUUAGUUUAAUCUGUUUGUGUGGAUCAUAAGUGAGCAAUAUAGAGUAUCCAAUAUGAGAAAUCAAAAGUUUAUCACCAUUUCCAACAGUAGCUCAUCAUUACCUUGAUAUUAUGAAUUAAAGCUCAUGCUUCCAAUAGCACUGGUUGCAUGAUUUGUAGCACCAUUGUCAAGGUACCAAGCUCUACUAUUCUCACCGUCAACUGCAACCACAUAUGCUCUUCUUGGAUCUCUUCUUCUAUUUGGCUGUGGAACUGAUAUGAACCCUAUUAAGAACUAACAUGACCCUAACCAAUUUAGUCUCUAAGAUUGAAACCAAUUUUUUAUUUUUUUUAGAAGAGAUUGAAACCAAAUCUAAAAUUGAAUGGAACCGCGAUUUGAUCUCAAUGAAAGUACGAACCUUGGUAUGUGAUGACGUCACAAUUAGCUAUGGAUGAUCUUAUUGAUAAGUCAAGAGUUUGAACGCCACAGAAAUGCGAUAAAUUCAAAGGGUUAGUUUAAGAACCAAAGAGAAUUAGCUUUCUCACCAAUUGCAUCAAAAUUGAUGCCUUUCUUAUUGGAUACGAGUACAUUAGAUAGGGUUGGUUUAUAAGAAUUUUAAGAAAUAAAUCCUAAACCAAAAUCAAAUCAGAAUCCUAAUUUAAAGCAAAUAAUGAAAGAAACUAAAUCAAACCAGAAUCCUUAUUGGCUUAAAUGCCUUGCAUCAAUUAAAAAUGGAAACAAGGCAAUUAAAAGAGAAAUAAUUGAUUCGUUUUGCCACUUGCCUACUCAAGAAAUGGGAAAGUAUCCUAAAAGGAAAGUAGUAUAUUUUCCAAACGAGAAAACAUCUGAUAAGGUAAAUAAUGUAUUUUCUAGCCAUAAUGUGCAAACCAACUUGCUGAUUUUAUGGAAAUGAUUAUGUGGAAACUUAAAAAGCCUGAAUCACGUAUUUAGUGGUCUGAAUAUCAUGUGCGCUUUCUUCAACGGGCCUCCACGAAUUUGAUUGAGCUCAAGUUGCUUAAAUCAACCCAUUAAGCGAUUUUUUGAAUUUUUUUGCACGAGCUCUUGUGAUGGGUCCAACAGGAACUUGAAUGGGAUAUGAAUAUACCUCAUCCCAUGUGCUUGUGACAGUUUUGUCCUCAAUAUCAUAUUUUUUCCUUCAAAGAAACAAUUUUGCUUCAUAUGGAAAAGGAAAUUCUUAUGUAGCCUUACAUGAUUUAUACAUAAACUCAUAAUAUUUGUGUAGUCCUUCAUGAACAUGUGAAAUAUACACUUAUAUAGUGAAUCCUUCAUGAACAAGAUGUUAGUGAAUAACAUCAUAAUUUUGGAAUAGUCUUUCAGGAACAUAUUUUGAAAGAAAAUCUUCAUUAUGUAUAGUGCGAUCCUUAGAGAUGCAUUCUUAAUUUUCUUUCAUUAUAUAUUAUAAUAUUCAUACUUUAGGAUGAAUAUUUUGAAUUUCAAGAAUAGAAAAUAUAUAAUAGCAAUUGAAUAUUAUAAUAUAAAAAAUCAAACAAUAACAAAAUCAAUCAAUGGAACAUUAAAUAAAUGUUGGAAUCCAAAUCUCAUAAAAUAUAUGUAAUCAUUAAUAAAGGAAGUAUUAGAACAAGAAUCAAUCGGUCCUUGAUCUUAGCCACUAACUUAGCAUAUUGUAAUAUUCAUUCUCCUUUAUAUUCUUUCCUUUUCUAUUAUUUGACCGUUUGGUACUUGCCUUAGAUGAUUCUAGUAUUUUUGUAUAUAAGGAUCUUGUACACAGCAACAAAUAUAUAUGAGCAUUUCCACAAUUCUUUACAUGGUAUCAGAGAAAAUUUUGCUCAUUUAUGCUUUUCUCUUUGACAAUCAUGUCUAGUAGUUUGAAUCCAAUAUCAGAAACAUCAAAUUCCCUCAUUACCGAUGCUUCUUCACCAUACUUUCUUCAUUCAUCUGAUCAUCCUGGAGCCAUUCUUGUAUCUAAUGUGCUAACAGGUGAUAAUUAUUCAACAUGGAAAAUAUCCAUGAAGAUGGCAUUAAAUGCCAAAAACAAAUUGGGUUUUAUUGAUGGAAGCAUACAAAAACCUUCAUCAACCUCACAAGAUUUAAAAACUUGGGAGCGAUGCAAUGACAUGGUCCUUUCAUGGAUGCUCAAUGGAAUAGAGAAAAAUCUUGCCAACAGCCUCAUUUAUUGUGAUACUCCACGCUCUCUUUGGCUUGGGUUGGAAGAACGUUUUUCACAAAGUAAUAAUCCACGGAUUUAUGAACUUAAGAGAGCCAUAUGCAAUCACUAGCAAGAGCAAAAAUCAUUAGUGAUUUAUUUUAAUACUUUGAAAUUUUAUUAGGAUGAAUUGUCCACAUUAACCACUAUUUCUUCUUGCAAGUGUGAAACUUCAUAUGAAUUGCAGGGAUUACUAGAGACUGAAAAGGUGUUUCAAUUCCUAAUGGGUCUCAAUGAUUCAUAUUCUUCGGUACGAAGUCAAAUCUUAGCCAUGGAACCACUUCCAAAUGUUGGAAAAACAUAUUCAAUUAUUCAUCAGGAAGAACGUCAACGACUUCUCCAUGUUUCCAGUCAACCAUCCAUUGAAUCAACAGCCUUGACAGCCAAUAAUAAGACUCAAAUGACCAGCUGUCAAAAUCAUUCACAUCCUAGCCAUUUGCAUGGAGUACAAGAGACACAAGGACGGGGUAGACCUUUCUGCGAUCAUUGCCAGAAAUAUGGGCAUAUAAAAGCCAAAUGUUACAAAAUUGUUGGCUAUCCACCAAACUGGAAACAUUCAAAUCGAUCGCAUGUUGCUGCUCCUACAACCACAAAGCCACAACAACUAGAUGAUCAUCCCAUUCCAACAGACAAGAAUUCCUGGUCUACUAUCCAAAUUCCUGGUCUCACGGCUGAACAAUAUCAACAAUUAUUAUCUAUACUUUCAACAAGUGAGCAACCAUCUACUGCAAACUUAGCUGGUAAAAUCAUUCCUUUUUGCAAUUCUGCUAUUAACUCAUAUAAUAAUUCUUGGAUAAUUGAUAGUGGGGCAUCUGAUCACAUGACCCCUAAUAUUUCUUCCUUUAAAAAUUUUGUGCCCAUGUCUCAUGUCAAACCCGUGAGACUACCAAAUGGCACAACUGUUCCUACAACAAAAUGUGGAUCCAUUAAAUUAUCCUCCUCUUUGACUUUAGAUAAUGCCUUAUUGGUUCCUCAUUUUAAUUUUAAUCUAUUAUCUGUAAGCAAGCUAACCAAGGAUUUGAACUGUGCUGCUAUAUUUUUUUCCUUCAUUUUGUGUUUUUUAGGACCUUUCAACGAAGAAGCUGAUUGGAAAGGGUGAAGUUUGGGAUGGACUAUAUUAUUAUGAGCUUAUCAAUGGUCAUUCUUCCCUUCCUUCAGUAAUGAACGUUGCAACGGAACCCAAUUCCAAUCUUUGACAUUUGUGACUCGGUCACCCUUCUAAAGACCGAAUGCAGCGUUUGUCUUUUAUUUCUGAUAUUGCAUCAUUUAAUUCUUGUUGUGAAAUUUGUCAACUUUCAAAAAACACUAGAAGUUCAUUUCAAUUGAAUAAAAAUCGUUCUGAUAUGCCAUUUCAAUUAAUUUUUUGUGAUAUUUGGGGACCUCAUCGCACAUCUACAUAUACGGGAGCAUAUUAUUUUCUUACUAUUGUUGAUGACCAUACUCGUUGUACUUGGGUUUACCUCAUACGGCACAAGUUUGAAGCUUUUCAAUUAUUAAAAAAUUUUUACUUCUUGAUCAAGACACAAUUUCACACACAAAUUAAAAAAAAAAUUUGUAUUAAUCAAGGAAGUGAAUUUUUAUCAAAUCAGAUGCAAUUUUUUUCAUGAGCAUGGCAUCUUGCAUGAACACACUUGUGUUGAAACACCUCAACAAAAUGGGGUAGCAGAACGCAAGUAUCGACAUAUUUUAGAAGUUGCACGUGCAUUAUGUUUUCAAGCACAUUUACCUUUGUCUUUCUGAGGAGAUUGUGUUUUAGUUGCAACCCAUUUGAUUAAUCGUAUACCCACUCCUAAUCUUGGUGGUCAAUCACCUUAUGAAAUGCUUUUUAAGACUAAACCUCACUAUGAUCGUCUUCGUGUCUUUGGCUGUCUUUGUUAUGCUCAUACCAACAGUGCUAAUCGUCAUAAAUUUGCUCCCCGUGCUACCAAGUGUAUAUUUGUUGGUUACCCAUUUGGGUAUCUCGGAUACAAAGUUUAUGAUAUCAUUAAUAAAAAGACUUUUAUUUCUCGUGAUGUUACUUUUGUGGAAACUGAAUUCCCAUUCAAAACUAUCACCAAUCAACAAGAAAAUAGCAAUCUUUUACCUCUUCCUAUCAUACUUCCUGCCAAUGAAAAUGCACAGCUCCUUCCAACUUCUUCCAAUGAAAAGCUACUCCACCAAGGUACAUCUGAUUCAAUAGUUCUCCCUUCUCCACCUCUUCGACGAUCCCAACGACAGUCUUGUCGUCCAAAUUAUCUUCAGAAUUAUAUUUUCUCUACUGCACUUCACGGUACAUUUGGCAACUCUAUUACUUUUACUAAUCAUCCACCAUUGGUAAGUUCUUUAUAUCCAUUAUCCAAGUAUUUAUCAUAUGACAAGUUUUCUAGUGAUCAUGUAGCCUUUCUUUAAGCUAUAUCUCACGGUGUUGAACCAACUACAUAUUCUCAAGCCGUUCAACAUGCUUAUUGGCGCAAUGCUAUGGAUAUAGAGAUUAAAGCUUUGGAGCAAAGUAACACUUGGACAAUACAAGAUCUACCCCCCGGCAAGAAACCAAUUGGUUGUAAAUGAGUGUUUAAAAUUAAAAGAAAAGCUGAUGGUUCUAUUGAUAGAUACAAAGCAUGCCUUGUUGCUAAAGGAUACACACAAACUGAAGGUUUGGAUUACCAUGAGACAUUUGCACCUGUUGCAAAACUUGUGACUGUUAGAUGUGUAUUGGCAAUGGCAGCUAUUCGAGGGUGGUUAUUAUUUCAGUUAGAUGUUCAUAAUGCAUUUCUUCAUGGCGACUUGCAUGAGGAAAUUUAUAUGACCUUACCUCCAGGAGUUCGUAAACAGGGGGAGUCUUAUCAAUUUUGUCGGUUAAACAAGUCCCUUUAUGGUCUUAAGCAAGCUUUUCAAAAAUUGGUUUGAAAAAUUCUCAUCCGCUCUUAAACAAAUUGGUUACAUUCAAUCUUGUGCUGAUUCUUGUUUAUUUACUAAUAUGCACGAUUCUCAUUUUACAUUGGUGCUUGUGUAUGUUGAUGAUAUAAUAAUUGCUGGUAACCAUCUUGACACUAUAACUGCAUUGAAGAUAUUUUUACAGGCUCAAUUUCAUAUUAAAGACUUGGGAACUUUGAAAUAUUUUUUAGGAAUUGAAGUGGCUCGUUCAAAGCAAGGGAUUUUCUUAAAUCAAAGGAAAUAUGCUUUAGAUAUACUUCAAGACAGUGGACAAUUAGGCACACGGCCAUCUUCUUUUCCAAUGGAAUAAAACUUGAAGCUCUCUAACGAUCAAGGAACCCUUUGUCAAAAUCCUGACCACUACUAACCACUGUCAUAGGAUGUCUCAUCUAUUUGACAAUCACCCGGCCAGAAAUUACAUAUGCUGUGAACAUACUUAGUCAAUUUAUGCACACUCCAAGACGACCACAUUAUGAUGUUGCCCUGCGUGUCUUACGUUACAUUAGAUCUUCUCCCGGCGCUGGUAUCCUCUUGUCCUCCGCUAGCUCUUUGGAACUCUCUGCCUUCUCAGAUUCAGAUUGGGCAAGUUGCCCCAUGACCCGUCGAUCCACCACUGAAUAUAUUAUCAUGCUCGGCAACAAUCCUAUUUCUUGGAAAACCAAGAAGCAACCAUUUGUAUCGCGCUCUUCCGCUGAAGCUGAAUAUCGAGCAAUGGCGACAACAACAUGUGAAUUGGUUUGGUUGAAAACUCUACUUCAUGAUCUUCAUGUGACCCAUCCAAUGCCUAUAACUUUACAUUGUGACAAUCAAGUUGUGCUUCAUAUCGCUGCGAAUCCCAUCUUCCAUGAGCGUACCAAGCACAUAGAAAUAGACUGCCAUCUUGUUCGUGAAAAGCUUCAUGCCAAAAUCAUUUCCUUAACUUAUGUGCCUUCACGACAACAAUUGGCUGACAGUUUUACCAAAGUUCUUGGUAAAGAUCAAUUUCAAUAUCUUCUUGGCAAGUUGGGAGUUACGGAUCUUCACUUUCCAACUUGAGGGGGAGUAUUAGAACAAGAAUCAAUCGGUCCUUGAUCUUAGCCACUAACUUAGCAUAUUGUAAUAUUCAUUCUCCUUUAUAUUCUUUCCUUUUCUAUUAUUUGACUGUUUGGUACUUGCCUUAGAUGAUUAUAGUAUUUUGGUAUAUAAGGAUCUUGUACACAGCAACAAAUAUAUAUGACCAUUUCCACAAUUCUUUACAGGAAGUAAGGAACAACUUCAUAGAUCCAUUAUUCUUAAAUUAUAAAAAUACAUAAACAACAUAUGUAUAUGAUUUUAGACAAAUCAAGAUAGUUUAAUUCAUACCUUUGUGAGUGAGAUCAAAGGAGGGAUAUUAUCAUAUUACCUCUUAAUGGCUAGAGACUCGUGUUGAUAAUGUGUUAUAUCAUUUAUCAAUUGGGAGUGCAACAAUAUAGCAAGAGAAAUAAAGAAGGCAAAUAAGAGACACAAUGUUUAGAGGGGAAUUUUAUUCAAUCUCAAAUAUAUACAAAUAGGAAGCAAAGGCCUGCUUUUAUAGUGAUACAAGCAUAAAGUAGUAAGUAAUACCUCGUAAUUAUAAGAGAUGACAAUCCUCAGAUUAGGGAGAUAAUGAGAGUUAUAAAAGAUGGAAAGUUACUUGUGAGGAGAUCGAAGAUUGCUUUGAUGAACAUCCACAUAUAUUAUAAUAAUUUCAUAACAUACAUUUACUUUUAAUUUAUUUUUAAGGUUAAUUGGUUAAUAAGCUUCUUGUGUAGUAGAUUGAUUAAUGUGCCCAAGAAUAUUGUUGGAUGCUAUUAUUUUAAAGGCAAAGAAAAAUAAGGCAUAAGUGUCACAUGUUCAAUAGCAGGGAUGUUUUGAGGAAUUUCUUAAAAUAAAAAGACUAAGUAGAUCUUUAGCCCAAAAUAUAGGGAUUAAGCAAGCAUUCAUCCUAUUGAAAAGCAAAGUAAACUAAUGUAACCAUAAUUGAAUAUAAAGUUAACUCUUCUAUGGCAUUAUAGAGAACAAAAGAAGGAAAAAUAUUAUUCAAAUUCAAGAUAAGAAGGUAGUUUAUUAACUGUCUAAAGUUCAAAAUUUUAUUAAUUUCAGACCUUUUUUAAAAUUUACUUAUUUGUUUUUUUGUAACUUAUGUUUGAUUUUUAGAUAUUUACAUCUGAAUAGAAAAAGUAAGAUUUUUUGACUUUUAUCUAAAUGGAAAAAGAUCUGAAUGAUUAGUAAAUAUUAUAUUCCAUAAAUAUCUCUAUAAAAUAACUUAUUUCCUAAUCUAUAAAAUAGAAUCCCCUUUUUUUAUUUUGAUUUACAAGGACGUAAAUGUCAAAGAACUAAGUUUAAGAUGUUUUUUAUUAUAAAAACAAAUAAGAUGCCACUUACAUUCAUAUAUUAAAAAAUGAAAAACAAACAUGUGAUUCAAAUUUUCGUAUUCAAACCCAUUCAAACUUGAAAAAAAUUUAGACACAUUCAAAUUUCAGACAAAAAAGACAAAUACUACUUCAAUUUUUUUUUCGCUUUGCAACUGCCCACUGCUAACCAAAUAAAAAAAGAUUUUCAAUUUGGAAUUAUGUUAUCCAACAUAUGAAGACAAUUCUUCCUUUGAACGAAUCUUUAUGAUUGUUUUCUGAACGAAUAUUGCUCUAAAUUAAAAUAUUUUAGAACAAAAAAUAGUUGAUUGCCAAAUGUACAAUAGGUACAAUUUUCUUUUUUCAGCUCUCUUUUGGAAGAGAACUAUGUCGUCCUUUAUAAUUAUUAUUUCUUGAAAGAAUACAAACUUAAAUUACUGGCUUUUUAUUUGUAAAAUCAUAUAAAAUAGACUCUUUUAAGGAAAAUAUCUCAUACCGGAGAUAAUAAUUUCUGGACUAAGAAUAUAAACUUAAAACAGCACUACUAUCAAAUUAUCUUUAAAAGAGUUCCUUGAUCAAAAGAAUUUAUUUAUCAUUUUUCACAGUUUAAAAAAAUAAAAAAAAUUACAUAGAAAUAAUUGGAAGAUUUCCUAAAUAAGCAUCAAAUAAAUGCUAAUUUAUUGCAUGAUACUUGGAAGAAACCAUAAAUAAAAAUUAAGGAUUUAUAAUUUUAAAGACAAGUUGGGAGUUUAAAUUUUCUUGCCAUCUUGAGGGAGAAUAAUAAGACCGAAAUAAUAUUGAUGAAACAAAAUAAUCAAUCAAAUAUUUGAUUGUCUUCAUCUUAAUCAGUGAUCAAGAAAAAUUGGUUGUUAAUUAACAUAAAAAUUGAUUGACUCAAUAUUUACUAAUAGAUCAUUAUUCCCAAAUUAUGUUAAUUAUAUAUAUUUCAAAUACUUAUAAGAAUUGAGUUUGCUUACGGUUUAUUAAAUAUAGUCUCUUAAAAGUUUACAUGUGGCCCAUACAAAGCUAACAUUACUCUGUUAUAGCAUUUCGGGCAUCCAACAAGAUCCUCUUCUUCACUUAUUGUUAGAACUAGAGCUAACAAAUUAAUUACUUAAUCACGGCUAAGUUUGGAAUUAAAAUCAAACUAAAUUAUCUAAUUGGUUGAGUUCGGUUUCCGUUUGUAUGGGCUACAUGAAAUUUUUUCUCUCAUCUUCUCUCGUCUGCUAAUCGCAUCUUUCUCUCUUUCGACUCUCUAAUUUCUCUCUUGGAUUUGGUUACCAAGCACAUAAAAUUGAAGCCACCAUCUCGCUCAUAACAAACAACUAGUCGGAUCCACCAAACUGUUGCUGUCAUCUUGAGCCAUUCAAGUAACUUGAACACAUCAUCUUCUCGUAAAUUCUCUUUCAUUUUCGAAUUAAAGACAAGGUAAGGAUGUAAUCUUGACUUUUGUGUUUUUUGUGAUGACUACAGAAAAUGCUAUAUGAAACAAUUAGGGAUUUAUGUGCUAUAUAAUAAUAAUAAUAAUAAUAAUAAUAACAACAACAACAACAACAACAACAAGUAGUCAUUUAUGAAUUUUGAGUGAAAAAUUAGGGAUUUAUGUGCUUCUUCUUCUUCUUCUUCUUCUUCUUCUUAUUAUUAUUAUUAUUAUUAUUAUUAUUAUUAUUAUUAUUAUUAUUAUUAUUAUUUUCCCUAUAUUAAACAAGUAGUCAUUUAUGAAUUUUGAGUGAAAAAUUCACUCGGCUGUGGCAGAUUUUGUGCCUUACAAGUAGUCGAUUUCACGCAUUCAUCAUCACCAUUACUAUGUUCAUUAUUAUUUGCUAUUGUUUUUUACUUUUUCUGCUGUUAUUGAUUAAAUUGACAUUAAAUUUAUGUCUUGUCCAUUACAAGACUUAACAAUAUAAUCCAGGUGUAACAUGGACACUACAGAUGAUACAAGUGCGCAAGACCUAGUCAGAGAGCGUAGUACACUUUUUGUAAGUAUAAACUAAUUGAUAUUUUUCGAGUUGUUAUGUUAGCAACCAUUUUAAAAACACUUUUGUUUUCGAAUUUUGGUUACGUUGAAGUGAAGGGGAUUGAGUUGCCAUUAAAAAUUAAAGUAUUUUGGUCUUUAUAAACAAAGCGCUUUUGUGGAAUAGAUCUAAGAAGAUGCUAAUCUUCUUAAUAAUUUUUUUUUUUUUUAAAUUCUAUUACUCUUGGUGCAACAAAUUUCCUAGUGCCAAAACCUUGUCAUAAAAAAAAAAGAAAAAAAAAAAGAAAACAGAAAAAGAGUGAAAAUCUCUUCGGUCAACCAAAUUACUCAAAUUCGUAAAAUAAUAUAAUACUUGAACCUUAAAAAUAAAAGCUCUAUAUAUUACUAUAUAAACAGUGAUAAACACAAUUACUAUCUAAGCCCACUCGAAAUUUUAUCAUACAGUCGUAUAUUUAUCACCUUAUGUACGUAUAUUGUAAUUUGGAUACGUUAUUUAAUUGUAUUUAUAUUGUGUAUAUUUACCACAUUAUGUACGUAUAUAAAAUAUAACGUAUAUUGUGUAAACUUUACUUUUGAGCUAAGUAUUUUCCUGAAAAAGGAAAUAAAUCAAUAAAAAUUAUUGUGUGUCAACAUAUUGGUUAUAUUAGUCUAUACACGUCGGUUUUAAUUACGAUAUCUCUUCCUAAAUAUUUUACUUUUUUUGAAAGUAACUCAAAAAUUUGUUGUAUAAAAAACACUAUCACUUUCAAUCAUAUGAUGGUUACAUUUUAAUCAUUUAUUCAUAACGUCCUCCUGGACCUCCAUUGGGGAUAUUAUAGUGUGUCAUUCUGUAACCCAGAACUAUCAUUUCUUCCACCUCUACGAUAUCUUGUAAUGUUACUUGCAGCUUCAUAAGCCACAGAAACAUCAUCAAAAUCAACAAAUUGUUUUCUUUUCUUUUUUUUUAGGAAAGUAAUAAGAAAAAUAAAAGCUGCAUUAUUCUAUUUAUGAUCAAUAGAAGAAUUCAAGUGACUGGAGAAAAUUCAGAUUGUUGAAAAUGGGUUCUCAAACGAGAUAAGCCUCAGGUAGUAGACCUCACCAACAUCAGUACCAGACUCAAUCCAUAGAAUCGGUCUCGUCUUAAGCCUAACAGCUCCCUUCUAAUAUAAUCUAGUGAGAACGGUGAGGUGCUUGGUAUAUCAUACACCAAAAAUCAACGAUGCUUGGACUUUCAAGAAAAAGAGAAAAACAAAUGCAUGCACGGGGAAACGUACUAAUCAAAAGCAAAUCAUAUAAUUUACAAAUUAUUAUAGGCUUGUAGCCAUAAGAUCGAGAGAAACUAAAACAUUUCUUGCAUUUUCUGGCCAUAUUUUCUAAAUGAAGGGAUGGUCCAUUGCUGCUCCGCCAUACUGGAUCUCAAGAUGUCAUUAACAAUAGGUCUCAAGAUGUCCCUAACAAGGUGUCACUCUGAUACCGACAGGUCUACCACUUAGACAUAACACUUGCCAUGUAAAAUGUUCUCCUAUUUUUGCUAUUUCCUUCGUAUCUUGCAUUGAAUUAUUGCCAGCAAAUGAUAUUUCGAGUCAAAAAAGUAUAUUCAAUUAUUGCAUAUAUGCUCCUAGGUAAUUUGCACAAUUGAAUUAUAGCUGUUAAUCUACUUAUUUACACAAUUGAUUAAUUGUACGCAUCCAUUGCAAGACUUUCGCACUAAGUUUCAAUUUCAACCACAAAUCCUAGCUCUAGAUAAAAAUGAUGUGGUCGUAGAGAUUUCGAAUGUAUUCACUUUGUGAUUAACGGAAGCAUUGCUUUCAUUUGUAAGACGUUGUCAUCACAGAUUAAUUAAUUAAUCAUCAUUUUGGUAAAGGAAAAAGAAUGAAAAAAGCUGCACUAUUUUAAAGGCCAUUUGGUAUAUGACCACUUCGCAUUGGACUUGGAGACCGGGUAAUUUUGUCAUCUCUACUCCAAGAAUCUGCUCUCAUGCUACUUGCAUGGUUCCAUCUUUGAAGUCUGGUACUGUUUUGUUUGGAAAAUACCCCACUAUAAUAUCUUCACGAAGAAAAUUGAUCCCCGUUAACUAGCGUGAUUAGCUUAGUUUCUUAAAUUCAACGUUCGUUUGGUUAAUUGUCUGUUAGUUUUAGAAUUUUGAUUAGCCAAUAAAACAAUGAGUUUUAUUGUUUAAUAAGGCAAGUUGAAAUAAAUUCAAUCCUACUCACAGAAAAAUUUAAAUGACACAUAUCAUAAUCUUUUUCAUAUCUUCAGAAAAAUUAAAUCAUAAGAGGAUCAUGAACAAUUUGAUGAUGCUCUGAAAUAUAGUCUUCUGUUUUUCAAGGAAAAAAUAAGGAAGUUAAAAACAUGUUUAUCAGGUUUUUCAGAGAUCAUUUUGACGUUUUUGUUUAAAAACAUGAAAAUUGUUCUUAUUCUCGUAAACCAGAAAAAAUUAUCUGGCCGGUUAGCUAAUUAUUCUUGUUCUUCUGUUCUUUUUUAUUUGAAUUGUUUCUCCCUUUUCCAUUCAUUUUUCACUAUGAAAUUAAUUACUAAUUAAUCUACAGUUAGUUUCUCUACAGCUAAUAGGAACGUCAUUUAUGCCCGAAGACUCGCAUCUUUUUUAUUCAUUAUCUACAGUGCCUCACCUCCAAUCUAUGUAUAGGCGGACAUGCAUAUUUAUUAUAUCAAAUAAGUUAUUGAUGGAAAAUAUCACUUUCGAAAUAGAGAAUUAUCCUUAAUUAAAUCUUAGUGGGCCUAAAUUCGAGUAAGAUUUAAUGAUGUAUGAUUCAAAAUUAUUGAAAUCGGACAUUUUAAACAAGAAAAAAAAUAAAAAAUCUUGUUCUCUUUUUUAAAUAAUAAAUUUCAUUGUGAUGGAUUUUUAAUAUUAAAUUAGACAUUUGCUAAAUUGGCUCAAAUAUAAUAGAUCUUAGACCUUGCUUUUAAUGGAUUUAAUUAGGUUUUGGGCAUUUAAAUUAUACAACUGGAGACGGAAUUUAUAAAUAGAUAACAUUCUAAUGUGAUUUUAAAAUAAAUUUGAACUUGAACUUGAUGCAUUUUAUUAAUCCAGAAAGGUAAAUUUAUAAUUUCAACUUUUAAAUAAAACAUAUCCUUUGGAUUUUUUACAUAAACUAGAGGCAAUUGUACAAUAUUUACUUGACUAGUGGUAUAUAUCUCAAAUUUUUUAUCCUAAGAAAUGCCACAUCAUUUGGUUGAUGAGGAUAAUAUAAUUAAUUCACUUAGAUAUUAUAAAAAAUUAUCAACCAAUCAACGAAUAACAUAUCAUUUUCAUUGGGAUGGAAUUUGGAAAAAAAAAUUUAGGACGUCUAUUAUUACUUUAGUAAGAAAGCAUAUUAAGAUGGACUAACAUGUUUGGAUGCCCCAGCCUAAGAUGCAAGAGAUCAAUUUCUUUUGUUGUCUUGAAAUCCCUACUAUUUGACUCAACAACAUUGGCAACAUUUAACCAAUUACUACUAGAACAAAAAGAUAUCAUAGACAAAGGAUUGCUAAUGCAAUUUAUUGACUCAUACUCUAAAGAUAGAGGUAACUCAACAGCACAUUCAUUCUUGCUACUCAUGCACAAUAGCUCAUAUAGCCUAUCUUUAGUCACUCCUUUCAUUUGGAUUUUCACUUGGCUAAAGCAAAUAGAUUUUUGAAGCACAACAUCAAUAUCAUUAUCACGGAACAAUUUUGAGACAUUAAUAAGGUUCUUAAUAACGCUAGGCACAGACAACGAGCUAUUUAGUUUAAUCUGUUUGUGCGGAUCAUAAGUGAGCAAUAUAGAGUAUCCAAUAUGAGAAAUCAAAAGUUUAUCACCAUUUCCAAUAGUAGCUCAUCAUUACCUUGAUAUUCUAAAUUAAAGCUCAUGCUUCCAAUAGCACUGGUUACAUGAUUUGUAGCACCACUGUCAAGGUACCAAGCUCUACUAUUCUCACCGUCAACUGCAACCACAUAUGCUCUUAUUGGAUCUCUUCUUCUAUUUGGCUGUGGAACUGAUAUGAACCCUAUUAAGAACUAACAUGACCCUAACCAAUUUAGUCUCUAAGAUUGAAACCAUUUUUUUUUUUUUUAGAAGAGAUUGAAACCAAAUCUAAAAUUGAAUGGAACCGCGAUUUGAUCUCAAUGAAAGUACGAACCUUGGUAUGUGAUGACGCCACAAUCAGCUAUGGAUGAUCUGAUUGAUAAGUCAAGAGUUUGAACGCCACAGAAAUCCGAUAAGUUCAAAGGGUUAGUUUAAGAACCAAAGAGAAUUAGCUUUCUCACUAAUUGCAUCAAAAUUGAUGUCUUUCUUAUUGGAUACAAGUACAUUAGAUAGGGUUGGUUUAUAAGAAUUUUAAGAAAUAAAUCCUAAACCAAAAUCAAAUCAGAAUCCUAAUUUAAAGCAAAUAAGGAAAGAAACUAAUUCAAACCAUAAUCCUUAUUGGCUUAAAUGCCUUGCAUCAAUUAAAAAUGGAAACAAGGCAAUUAAAAGAGAAAUAAUUGAUUCGUUUUGCCACUUGCCUACUCAAGAAAUGGGAAAGUAUCCUAAAAGGAAAGUUUUUUCCAAACGAGAAACAUCUGAUAAGGUAAAUAAUAUAUUUUCUAGCCAUAAUGUGCAAACCAACUUGCUGAUUUCAUAGAAAUGAUUAUGUGAAAACUUAAAAAGCCUGAAUCACGUAUUUAGUGGUCUAAAUAUCAUGUGCGAUUUCUUCAACGGGGCUCCACGAAUUUGAUUGAGCUCAAGUUGCUUAAAUAAACCCAUUAAGCGAUUUUUUGAAUUUUUUUGCACGAGCUCUUAUGAUGGGUCCAACAAGAACUUGAAUGGGAUAUGAAUAUACCUCAUCUCAUGUGCUUGUGACAGUUUUGUCCUCAAUAUCAUAUUUUUUCCUUCAAAGAAACAAUUUUGCUUCAUAUGGAAAAGGAAAUUCAUAUGGAAAAGGAAAUUUUCCUUCAAAGAAAUAAUUUCAUAACAUACAUUUACUUUUAAUUUAUUUUUAAGGUUAAUUGGUUAAUAAGCUUUUUGUGUAGUAGAUUGAUUAAUGUGCCCAAGAAUAUUGUUGGAUGCUAUUAUUUUAAAAGCAAAGCAAAAUAAGACAUAAGUGUCACAUGUUCAAUAGUAGGGAUGUUUUGAGGAAUUUCUUAAAAUAAAAAGACUAAGUAAUCUUUAGCCCAAAAUAUAGGGAUUAAGCAAGCAUUCAUUCUAUAGAAAAGCAGAGUAAACUAAUGUAACCAUAAUUGAAUAUAAAGUUAACUCUUCUAUGGAAUUAUAGAGAACAAAAGAAGGAAAAAUAUUAUUCAAAUUCAAGAUAAGAAGGUAGUUUAUUAACUGUCUAAAGUUCAAAAUUUUAUUAAUUUCAGACCUUUUUUAAAAUUUGCUUAUUUGUUUUUUUGUAACUUAUGUUUGAUUUUUAGAUAUUUAUAUCUGAAUAGAAAAAGUAAGAUUUUUUUACUUUUAUAUAAAUGGAAAAAGGUCUGAAUGAUUAGUAAAUAUUAUAUUCCAUAAAUAUCUCUAUAAAAUAACUUAUUUCCUAAUCUAUAAAAUAGAAUCCCCUUUUUUUAUUUUGAUUUACAAGGACGUAAAUGUCAAAGAACUAAGUUUAAGAUGUUUUUUAUUAUAAAAACAAAUAAGAUGCCACUUACAUUUAGAUAUUAAAAAAUGAAAAACAAAUAUGUGAUUCAAAUUUUCGUAUUCAGACUAGAGAUGGCCAAUGGGCCGGGCGGCACGUGGCACGGCACGGGCACGGAAUGGGCACGGCACGUGUCCGUACGGCACGACACGGCACGAGCACGUUUCGGUGAGGCACGAGGCACGGCACGGCAUGCACGUGGGCUGUGCCGGGCCUAGAAUUUUAGGCACGCGGGCCUUAAAGCACGGCACGAUUAGAGAUGGGCCAAAGCACGGCACACGAAAAAGCACGUAAUAAGCACGGUUCAUUGGUGGGCUAGCACGCGGCCCGUGAGCCAUCAAUAGCACGUGGGCCAAAAUAUAUCUAAGUAAAUUUUUUUAACAAAAAGUAAAUAUAAAAUGUUAUGAAAUUAAAGUAAAAUAUCUUGAAAUUAAAUGUUUUAAUAUAUUUUUUAGCAUAGACUUCUAAAAAUUAAUUUAAAUCAUUAAAUCUUAGUUUAAAUAAAUAUUCUAAUUUUUUAUGUUUAUAAUUUAUCAAAUGAAUAAUUAAAUAUCAUGAUUUUAAUAAAUAAAUUAUAAAUAUCAUAAUUUUAUUUAUGAUAUUUAUUAAAUGAAUAAUGUUAUUUAUGAUAUUUAAUUUUAUUUAUGAUAUUUAUUUAAUUAUUUAUUUAUGUUUAUAAUUUAUUAAAUGAAUAAGUAAAUAACUAAAUAUCAUGAUUUUAAUAAAUAAAAUUAUAAAUAUCAUAAAUUUAUAAUUUAUAAAUAAAAAAUAAAUCUUUUUACAAAAUUAAUAAUAAAAUAUUUUUCAUAUGAAAUAUUUUUCAUAUUAAUAUUAAAUCAUAACUUAGUUAAUAUUUAAUAGAGAUACGUUUCAUUUGUGAAUGAAAUAUUUUUCAUAUUUAUACACAAGAAAAAAUUAUGAUAAAUUAAAAAUUACAUUUUCAUUAAAUGAAGUUAAAGUACAAUUAUAACUUGUAAGUUGUGACCUAUGAUUUGUUAUAUUAAUAUUUCGUAGUUAUGACUUAUUGUAGUGAUUAUUCGAGGAUUGUAUUUUUAAUUUUAAUUAAUUAUUAUUAUGAGCUAUGGAAUUAAAUUUAUGUAUUGUUGUGUUAUGAAUUAUGAUUGAUUAUUGUGAAAUAAAAUAUAUAGUUGUGAAAUUGUGAUAAACUAAUAAUAAAAUGUUAAUUGCUCUCUUAAUAAAAAUUAAUAUGAUUAUGAUUAUGAAUAUUAUUAUUAUUAUUAUUAUUAUUAUUAUUAUUAUUAUUAUUAUUAUUAUUAUUAUUAUUAUUAUUAUUAUGUUGGUGGGUUUAAAAAAGCACGUCAGGUAUGUGGGUUUGAAUAAAGCACGCCAGACACGUGGACUUUUUUAAGCACGCCAAAAAAACAAAGUUGAUGGGCUUUUUUUUGGGAACGGCCCACGGCACGGCACGAGCGGGCUCGUGCCGUGGGCCGUGCUGGGCUCAACUGAAAAAAAGGUAUGCACGGCACGGCACAGCCCACCACGAGCCCUUGUGGGCUGACAGUUUGCCGGCACGGCCCAUUGGCCAUAGUUAAUUCAGACCCAUUCAAACUUGAAAAAAAUUUAGACACAUUCAAAUUUCAGAUAAAAAAGACAAAUGCUACUUAAAUUUUUUUCGCUUUGCAACUGCCCACUGCUACACCAAAUAAAAAAAGAUUUUCAAUUUGGAAUUAUGUUAUCCAACAUAUGAAGACAAUUCUUCCUUUAAACGAAUCUUUAUGAUUGUUUUCUGAACGAAUAUUGCUCUAAAUUAAAAUAUUUUAGAACAAAAAAUAGCUGAUUGCCAAAUGUACAAUAGGUACAAUUUUCUUUUUUCAGCUCUCUUUUGGAAGAGAACUAUGGCGUCCUUUAUAAUUAUUAUUUCUUGAAAGAAUACAAACUUAAAUUACUGGCUUUUUAUUUGUAAAAUCAUAUAAAAUAGAUUCUUUUAAGGAAAAUAUCUCAUACCGGAGAUAAUAAUUUCUGGACUAAGAAUAUAAACUUAAAACAGCACUACUAUCAAACUAUCUUUAAAAGAGUUCCUUGAUCAAAAGAAUUUAUUUAUCAUUUUUCACAGUUAAAAAAAAUAAAAAAAAUUACAUAGAAAUAAUUUGAAGAUUUCCUAAAUAAGCAUCAAAUAAAUGCUAAUUUACUGCAUGAUACUUAGAAGAAACCAUAAAUAAAAAUUAAGAAUUUACAAUUUUAAAGACGAGCUGGGAGUUUUAAUUUUCUUGCCAUCUUGAGAGAGAAUAAUAAGACCAAAAUAAUAUUGAUGAAACAAAAUAAUCAAUCAAAUAUUUGAUUGUCUUCAUCUUAAUCAGUGAUUAAGAAAAAUUGGUUGUUAAUUAACAUAAAAAUUGAUUGACUCAAUAUUUAUUAAUAGAUCAUUAUUUCCAAAUUAUGUUAAUUAUAUAUAUUUCAAAUACUUAUAAGAAUUGAGUUUGCUUACGGUUUAUUAAAUAUAGUCUCUUAAAAGUUUUCAUGUGGCCCAUACAAAGCUAACAUUACUCUGUUAUAGCAUUUCGGGCAUCCAACAAGAUCCUCUUCUUCACUUAUUGUUAGAACUAGCGCUAACAAAUUAAUUACUUAAUCACGGCUAAGUUUGGAAUUAAAAUCAAACUAAAUUAUCUAAUUGGUUGAGUUCGGUUUCCGUUUGUAUGGGCUACACGAAAUUUUUUCUCUCAUCUUCUCUCGUCUGCUAAUCGCAUCUUUCUCUCUUUCGACUCUCUAAUUUCUCUCUUGGAUUUGGUUACCAAGCACAUAAAAUUGAAGCCACCAUCUCGUUCAUAACAAACAACUAGUCGGAUCCAUCAAACUGUUGCUGUCAUCUUGAGCCAUUCAAGUAACUUGAACACAUCAUCUUCUCGUAAAUUCUCUUUCAUUUUCAAAUUAAAGACAAGGUAAGGAUGUAAUCUUGACUUUUGUGUUUUUUGUGAUGACUACAGAAAAUGCUAUAUGGAACAAUUAGGGAUUUAUGUGCUUCUUCUUCUUCUUCUUCUUCUUCUUCUUCUUAUUAUUAUUAUUAUUAUUAUUAUUUUCCCUAUAUUAAACAAGUAGUUAUUUAUGAAUUUUGAGUGAAAAAUUCACUCGGCUGUGGCAGAUUUUGUGCCUUACAAGUAGUCGAUUUCACGCAUUCAUCAUCACCAUUACUAUGUUCAUUAUUAUUUGCUAUUGUUUUUUACUUUUUCUGCUGUUAUUGAUUAAAUUGACAUUAAAUUUAUGUCUUGUCCAUUACAAGACUUAACAAUAUAAUCCAGUUGUAACAUGGACACUACAGAUGAUACAAGUGCGCAAGACCUAGUCAGAGAGCGUAGUACACUUUUUGUAAGUAUAAACUAAUUGAUAUUUUUCGAGUUGUUAUGUUAGCAACCAUUUUAAAAACACUUUUGUUUUCGAAUUUUGGUUACGUUGAAGUGAAGGGGAUUGAGUUGCCAUUAAAAAUUAAAGUAUUUUGGUCUUUAUAAACAAAGCGCUUUUGUGGAAUAGAUCUAAGAAGAUGCUAAGAAUUGAGUUUGCUUACGGUUUGUAAUCUUGACUUUUGUGUUUUUUGUGAUGACUACAGAAAAUGCUAUAUGAAACAAUUAGGGAUUUAUGUGCUAUAUAAUAAUAAUAAUAAUAAUAAUAAUAAUAAUAAUUAUUAUUAUUAUUAUUAUUAUUAUUAUUAUUAUUAUUAUUAUUUUCCCUAUAUUAAACAAGUAGGCAUUUAUGAAUUUUGAGUGAAAAAUUCACUCGGCUGUGGCGGAUUUUGUGCCUUACAAGUAGUCGAUUUCACGCAUUCAUCAUCACCAUUACUAUGUUCACUAAAAUAUAACGUAUAUUGUGUAAACUCUACUAUAAACAAUUAAUAUUUGGUCAUAUUUCUUUUGGCAAAUAACCCCCUGGGAUUUCUUCUUUAUCGCAACAUGAAAUUGAAGAUAUUUAAAAGGUUUUGAAACGUUAUUUUUAUUGAAAGGAGUUGCCAUUUUUAAUUUUGGUUGCAAAUAAUAAUUCCUUGGUGGUUACAAUAUUUUUAAAUAUCCCCAUUAAGGCUGUAGGGGCUACAAAUCUUCAUUCUAGAUCUGUAACAUAUGACUAUGAAUUAUAUAUAAAUGAGCUAUUUUUCUUUAUCUUUGGAUAUAUUAUAUACUCUAUUGUUUUCUCCGAAACUCUACGAUAAACAAUUAAUACUUUUCUUUGCAACUUCGACAUUCAAAGACUUGGUUUAUUCUUCAGGUAAAUCGUGCUUAGGAAGAAGAGCGGCAUGAAGAUAUUUGGGUUGUAUUUUGGAGCUGCGAAAUACCGACAAUAUCCGCCCGUGGGGAGGGCUCUUUGACAUUUGGGUUGUAUUUUGGACAUUUGUUCUUCUCCAUAGUACUGGCCGGAUUCUUCAACAAUACCCUAAUACUUCUAAAGUCAAAGACAUGCUUCUCUUUCGUUGAAUAUAUUUGCAUCUCUAGGUGAAAGUUGUAAUUGGCUGAGGAAAUUUUUAUUUUUAUAGAAUGGAAGAACAGGGACUUUACGUGGAGAAAAAAUUGUAGUGGGUAUUUUCCAUAGAUAUGGCUAUACAUGUAGCAUGACGAGCUGAUGACGGGAGUUCAUUUGACGGAAUUAGCCCUUCAAUGGGUUGUCGUUAUAAACCAGAUGGCCAAUAUAAUCAUGCAGCCUAUUUCAGCAAUGUUGUUUAUUAUGAUAUUAAUUUUGUGACUCAAGAAGCUGCAAGUAACAAUAAUACAGGACACCGUACAUAUGCAAGUAAUUGUUUUGGUUGCAAAAUGCAACACUUUCUGGACCAUCUUCUGGUUAUAAUUUUGUUUUUAGUAAAAUGUAAUUUUUUUUUAUUAUAGACAUUGUAUAAUUGUUUUAAAAUUUGGUAUAGCAAUAAAUAUGAUCUAUGUUUUGGACUGGUAGGUGGUUUCUUAAAAUUCUAUCCCAAAAGUUUAUCUUAAAGUUCUAUCUUAAAUUAUGUGGUCUUUAGACUGAUUGGUGUAAUUAAUUUAAUUAAUAAAAAAGAUCAGAUCUUCUCCUAGAUAUUUUUUUCCUCCUCCUAAACUUUUAAUAAUCCAUUGAUAUGUGUCAUUAAUGAAAUUAAUAGAUAAAAAAUUAUUUUAUCUUUACCGCUUUAACCCUACCCAAUUUGUGGACCCAUUUUAUCUUCCACGUGAUUGGUAUUAUUACUUUAUUUGUCUUUUUAUGUACUAUUAUUUAUUCUGUGGACCCAUUCAUGCACCCACGUUUCGGACAUGCAAUUUAACCGUAGCCGUUAAUCUUACCUAAUCAUAUGUGCGAUAAAAAUCUGCCGUCGAUCCGUUAUAUGUAAGUACCAACCAUGCGUUAUUAUUCGAUUUGCUACGUUACAAAAUCUUAUUGAUAAGGUUUUUUCAGAGAUUUUUCUUUUAAGACUACCAUUACCUACGUUACAAAAUUAAAUUAUAAGAGGAUCUUGAUAAGGUUUUUUCAGAAACCACUUUGUAAAGUCAAAAUAAAGUCUUCGCCGUCUGCCUCCAAUGACUAACGCCCCAGGCCCUUGAUGAAAUAGAAAUCCGAGCAGUGAAGUCACACUUCUCAUUGAAAACGACUAAUAAAAAUUAAGUUGGAAACUCGAACAGUAACUAGAUAACCUUACUCUUUUAUAUUUUAAGAAUUUGUUCAGAAAAUAUUACGAUCUCUUCUAACUUAAGUUGAAAUGCCGUUUCUAUUUCUUAUUCUUAUAAAAUGUGUACUUAUCAAUAAAGUUUCUUAUAUAAAAUUUUCAACUAAGAAUGAAUCUUCUUCAUCCAAGAUGCUAAUACAGUCCUAAAGGUGGUGGUGAUGAAAGAAUGGACAUUAAACCAUUAAACUUCAUUCUCGUAGUCUCAAGCGUGGUUGCUGGUCCUCCAUAAGACCAAUAAUCUCUCCCUCCGUGACUCGUAACCAGACUGUGAUAUCACUUGUUGGACCCAGACACUUAUUGUGACUUUUUAGCAAGUCGCCAAUCACUAAAUUGGUCCAGAUUUAACAUGCUUAUUUAUGGAUCUUUCAAAUUAAAGUUUUCAUAUUCCUUUGAAAACUAAUUGGAAAUAAAAUAUAAAAAAAAAGAAUAAUAAACUAUUUAACUUCAUCCAUUUAUAAUCCUAAGGAUAUUCAUUGGGCACCCAUAAGAUCAACAGUCUUAUACUAUAAUUUAAAUUUAAUUAUGUUUUAUUGACAAAAAUUAGCUAUUAUCAUUAUGAAAUGCCCAUUUCACUGGACUAUCUUUGAUUAUAAAAUUGUUUUAGCAAUUCCAAGUGAAAUGAUAUUUUGAACGAGGAAAAGACUCAAUUAGACAUUUAGACCGGGCUGCAGUUCUGGCCUCAUUUUGUCCUGAAGCUCAGCCAUGAUCCUGCCAAAGUUUUGGAGCCAUUCUAGCCACAUUUUAUCUUACUAUUAUGCACCACAUUUACUUUUUCGAUCUUCGAGACUUCGACUGGGUCAAACAUAUCCUCAAGCUCCGCUUUAACCUUACGAAAUUUGUGCCACUUGGCCUUGUAGCUCAGUGGUGGAUCAUUACCCUCAAAGUUAAGCAUGAUUAUGAGGGCAAUGGUUCGAGUUUUUACGGACUUAAUCUCCCUCAAUUAAACAUAAUUGUGUGGAGAUUUUUUAUAACGUCUUUCUCUCUUGUGAAAUGCGAGUGGAGUAGAGAUAUCCCUCCUCCGUGAGGGGUAUUUGGAUGAGCAUGUACUUCAUAGAAUAAAAAUGUAAUUAUAUAAGUCCUAUGUAUAUAUAUCUGAUUGUAAAUAUCAAUGUAAUGACUUGUUGUCAUAGCAAUUGUAUAUAUCUCUGUGUAAUAUAGUAAUAUGAUACUUAAUCAAUUUAAAAAAAAAAAAAAACUUACGAAAUUUGUUGACCCAUUUUACCUUCACGUGAUUGGUAUUACUACUUUUGUCGACAAGGCUACGUUGCAGUUGCAGACUCAGCUGAGUACCAACAGCUUUUCCUCUCUCCUGCAACGCGUGGAUGCUCCUUGUUUGUCUUCUUAUCUGCAAUUAUUUUCUCUGUGGACCCAUUCAUGCACCCACGUCUCGAAUAUGCAAUCUAACCCACGUCUCGAAUAUGCAAUUAUUUUUUUUGUGGACCCAUUUUACCUUCACGUGAUUGGUAUUACUACUUUUGUGGACAAGGCUACGUUGCAGUUGCAGACUCUGUAUGCAACAGCUCAGUCCAAACUGGCCUUGUAUCAGCUGAGUUCCAACAGCUUUUCCUCUCUCCUGCAGCGCGUGGAUGCUCCUUGUUUGUCUUCUUAUCUGCAAUUAUUUUCUCUGUGGACCCAUUCAUGCACCCACGUCUCGAAUAUGCAAUUUAACCGUAGCCGUUAAUCAUAUCUAACUAUAUGUACGAUAAAAAUUCCGCCGUCGAUCCGCUAUAUGUAAGUACCAAUCAGGCAUUAGUUUUCUAAUAAGACUUUAUUUCUUUUAUUAGCUCAUAUUCAUCCAUGUGUUUAUCAUUCCUAGCUAAUUCGAUUAUUUAAAAUAACAAUGAUCCAUCAAUAAUUUUAUUCUUCGACCGGCUAAAAUGAUUUUUUUUAUUAUUAUUUUGAUGAGGAGGUCUCAAUAAAGUUCAAAUAAAUAAAUUUUGGUCUUUGUCUCACACUUACAUAAACAAACGAAAAAAUUAUAAAAUUAUAAAAAAAUUAAGAACCAUUGUCAAUUAUGUAAAUUCAAAUAUUUAAACAAUCAAAAUAAUUGCGGUUAGUUUUCCCCUGUAAUCAAUUAUUGGCAUCGGAUGGGAACCACGUAAUUCGUGUAAUUGAUAUAAAGCAAUCUUUGAUGAAUCGUGACCCACUUAACAAGGAUCAAUACAUUCAGAAAUGAAUUCCACUCACCAAUUGAGAUACUAGUAUUAAUAUUAUCGGGAUUUAUACUGCUCUAAAGACAAUGUUACAGAGAAGCUGCUAUAACUCUCAUGACUCUGAAUCUAAGUGUUCAAUACGAGUGUAAAGACCUAAUUGCUCUGAUACAAGAAAUCAGUCCAGUCUUGUAUUACUAAACUUAUUAGCAGAUUUUUGGCUCCCAGCUAGCACAUGGGUAGCACCUGUAACGCUGCAUCAAUUAACAAAACUGAUUUACCAGAAUUUCCAGCCCCUAUACUUUGCAUCAAUAAAUUAUGAAAUUGGACAAGAUUUGUGUGUGAUUUUAAAAUAAAUAUGAACUUGAAUUUGAUGCAUUUAAUUAAUCCAAAGAGGCAAAUUUAUAAUUUCAACUUCUAAAUAAAACAUAUCAUUUGAAUUUUAUCAGUGGUUUCUAAUAAUAACUGACAGGUCAUUAUAAUAAUUAUAAAUGUAAUAUUUAUUUUUAUAAUUAUACAGUUAUGAUCAAUGCUAUGCUGUAGUGCCGUUCCAAAGGCAACUGCUCCCACUAUUCUCUUAGCGGCUCUGCCACUAAUCGCAUUCUGGCCACAUUUUAUCUUGCUAUUAUGCACCAUAUUUAUUUUUGCAAUCUGCGAGACUGCGACUAGGAUAUGCAAUUGCUCAAGCUCCGGUUUAGUCUUAAUUUGUGGACCCAUUCUACCUCACACGUGAUUGGCAUUACUACUUUGUUUGUCUUCUUAUGUACUAUUAUUUAUUAUGUGGACCCAUUCGUGCACCCACGUUUCGAAUACACAAUUUAACCGCAGCCGCUAAUCUUACUUAAUUUAUGUACGAUAAAAGCUCCGCCGUCGAUCCGUUAUACUUAAGUACCAACCAUGAUUAUUAUUUGAUUAGCUACGUCACAAAGUCGUAUUGAUUACGAAACACCAACACCUAGGGCCUAGGCAAUAUAGACAGGUCCUAAAUUAUGAACAGACAUUUACGCUGUGGACCCAUUCAUGCAUCCCCGUUUCGAUUUUGCAAUUUAACGUAGCCGUUAAUCUUACCUAACCAUCUGUACGAGAAAAACUCCGCCGUCGAUCCGUAUAUGUAAGCACCAAGCAUGCAUUAUUAUUUUACCGAUUAUAAAGCACCGACACCCAGGGCCUAGAAUUAUAAUACUAUUUUUUUUUUGGAUUAGGACGAAAUUAUUAUUGAAUAAUAAUUAAAACAAGAAAAUCUGAAUCUUUCUAUGAUUGUAUCAACUUAUUAUGCAUGCCUAUGUUAUUGCCCGGUUGCCUAUGGUAUUGACAUCUACUACGAAGUUAGAAAUUGGUCUUAAUUAAUUAGAUGCAUUUCUCAUUUGAAUUAUUUGGAGACGUGUAUAAUACAGGUCAAGUUUUCUAAUAAGAGGUUAGUGACUUUAUUUCUUUUAUUGGCUCAUAUUGAUUUAUUUGGUUAUCAUUCCUAGCUAAUUCGGUUAUUUAUCAAUAAUUUUAUUGGACAAAUUCUUUUAUUGGUUAAAAUAAGUUUUUCUUAUUAUUGUUUUUGACGAGAAGGUCUCAAUAAAGUUGGAGUAAACAAAUUUUCAUCUAUGUCUCGCACUUACAUAAAAUAAAGGAAAAAAUUAUAAUUAUAAAUAAAUUAAGAACCAAUGUCAAUAAUGUAAAAUCAAAUAUUUAAACAAUCAAAAUUUUAUCACUUUUGAAUUUAAGACUUUUUUCUUUCAUAUGUUAGAAAAUAAAAUUUUGAUGGAAAUUUUUUUUUAAAUGAAAUUGGGAAUUAGAAAUUUUCAUUUCCAAGACUAUCUUUCAUUGGCUAUGUCCAAGACGAAACAGAUUAAAAGCAAAUUUUGUAAUUUACAAAAUUACUGUAGCAAUGAGAUGCGAAAGAAAAGACUGCACGUGAUAAUUGCGGUUAGUUUUCCCCUGUAAUCAAUUAUUGCCACCGGAUGGGAGCCACGUAAUUCGUCUAAUUGAACUGUACCCGGUUAUUCGCAAUCCACACCGGGCAAACUUGAAUCAUCUAUAUAUAUUACAUCAAAUUGUCAAACUGGAAGCAAGAACUCGAAAAAACAACUUAACUACUUUCGAACUUUGAUUCCCGUAAGCAGAGAUCUUUCUGAUUUGAAGAACAUGGAAACCACCUGCGCAGGUUUAUAGGCCAACUUUAUUUUAAUAUAUAUCGUUUAUACUUCUUAUUUUAGUAUAUGCGGUUAUAAAUUAAAUUUUUUAUAUGAAAUUUUCAGGUAAUAACUGGUCAGAGGGUCUUCUGCUUCCUCCGUUUGGCAGUAUUGCUGAUGAUGAUGUCAUGAACGACAAUCUUGAUUUUCUUAAUGUCCCCCAAUAUGGAAGAAACCCCGACUACAUGGGUUAAGUGCAGCACUGCUUUUUUUUUUUUUCUGUUUUGUUUAAUUAAAUAAAUGAUAGGUAUACUAUUACCUAUCAAUCAUGACAAUGUUUUAGUAUGGUUUAGUUCAACUUAUAAGAUUUCUUGAGACGUACAAGCAAUCUUUUUGUUUACUUUUGAGCUAAGUAUUUUCCUGAAAAAGGAAAUAAAUCAAUAAAAGUUAUUGUGUGUGUCAACAUAUUGGUUCUAUUAGUUUAUACACGUCGGUUUUAAUUACGAUCUCUCUUCCUAAAUGUUGUAC
rnacentral:lncRNA from 1 species